UGAGCCCGGCCGGGCACCGCCGGCCGGUCGAUCCCCUGCCUGUAAUUAAAUUAAAUCGCCAUUGCUCGCCGUGCGUCGGGUGCCCGUAAGGGGACCGGUGGCAAAAGAGGCCACUUGUGUAGCGAUGCGUGAAUGAAUUGGGAAUGUGGAAUUGUGGAUAAGAAAGAAGAAUUGUUCGGGGCUGAUCUGGCUUCCUACUACACUUGAAGAUAGUUUGCACGUUCUGAUUUAUUGCGCGCACACGAACUGCAAGACGACACAAGGAAAGCUUAAAAUAAACAGACAGUCUAUCUAUGUCGACCGACUCGCUGUUUCCCAUCCCGGUUUUUGAAAACGGUGGGCUUAUAAGCGGAAAAAAGUCCAAAAUAAUCCUGAAACUUGUAGACGAAAACUAAAUUAAAUUCUAAACCUCUAAUUCAUGUAAUCAACACAUCGAACCCUCUGAUCCAGUUUAUUUUAAACCUUGAGCGUAUUUCCAAACAGGGAUUGUUCAUGUGGCAACAUGUUGAACCUAGGAUCUUCGGAUGCGGGUGGACGCGGUUGGACCAGCCCACCAGCAGGCGCAAAGUUUUAUUUUUCUACAUUUUUCUCGUAAGAUGUGACGUAAAAAUACCAAAAAAAAGAGGUUCAGGGAAUCAAACUAGCGACCUGUAGCUCUAAAGUCCUGCUGCUGGCCACUCUAACUGAACCUUGUUGGUGUGAAAAGAGAAGCACGAAAUAUUUAAGCACACAUGGCAGAGCCUAGAUUUGAUUUUUUGGUAUAAUUUUUCAAGACAUUUUCUUGAAAAUUAUCAAUAAUUUUGAAAUCAGAAUUUUACUAAAAGGAAAAACUAAUUUUUAGAACUCCAAUUUUUUUUUGCAAAAAUGUGAACAACUUUUUGGAAUCACGAACAGUUUUUUGUAAAACACAAACAAAACUUUUAAACAUGAAUCAUUUAUGAAAUCCCCAAACAUUUUAAAGUGCGAACACUUUCUGGAGAAAAGGAACAAAAUUUUAAAACACAAUUUUUUUAAACUUGAACAAAAUUUAAAGUGCGAACAAACUUUCAAAAUUUGUUCCCAUUUUUUAAAUAGAAAGGGUUAACAUUUUAAAAUUUUGCUCAUGUUUCAAAAUGUGUUCUCAUUUUUCAAAAAAUGGUUAUGUAAGUUCGUGUUUUGAAAAAUUGUUCUUACUUUAAUCUUUUUUAGGUUUAAUAAAUUGUUCAUGUUCUAAAAAUUUGUUUACCUUUAGAGAAGGUUCAUGUUUGAAAAAUUUAUGGGAAUUUAAAAAAUGGUUCACAUUUUCCAAAUUUGUUUGUAAUUUUCAAAAAAUGUUGUAAUUCCAAAAUUAGUUUACAUCUUUGCAAAAAGUUUGGAAAUUGAACAUUUAUUUUCAUCUUUUAAUAAUAUUCGGAUUCAAAAUUGUUGACUACUUUCAAGAAAAUGUUUUCAAAUCUUGAUGUUGCGUUGUGUGCUUAAAUACUUUCACGCAUCUCUUUUAUCAUCAAGAGUCAUCAGUUAGAGUGGUUAGUCGGAGUAGUUCAGCAGCGCUAGAUCACAUGUUCAAUUCCCUGUGAGUCUUACAUUUUUCGGUAUUUUUAUGUCAGACAUUACGUAUAUAAAAGAAAAACACGAUUCACCUUGGUGGGUCGGCCUAGUCGCUUCCUGCCGCAGCCAACGAUCCCGGUUCGACCUGCUGCCACGUUGACAAUCCCUUCAAAAACCUACUCAAGGUUUAAAAUAGACCGGGAUCAUAGAGUUUGGUGUGCUCAUUUCAGGGAUUAGAAGUUCAGGUUUUUAUCGUUUUAUCUUAUAAGCCAUGUGCGUUAAUUAGAGUAGCGGCCUCUUCCAGCAUAGCAGGCGUGCAUAGAUACCUGGAUGAAGUGCUACACCUACAAGACACAUUUUACGGGAUCUUUGUUAUGUCAAAUGGUUGUGUCAAAUUGUUGGAGAUUACUAGUUUAGGGGCGAGAGUGGCCCACCAUGAAAAUCACAAGGGGGAGUGUGAAGGAAAUAUGCCCUAGAGGCAAUAAUAAAGUUAUUAUUUAUUUCAUGGUAAAUGUUUAUUAUUCAUGCUAGAAUUGUAUUAACCGGAAACUUAGUACAUGUGUGAAUACAUAGACAAACAGAGUGUCCCUAGUAUGCCUCCACUUGACUAGCUCGUUAAUCAAAGAUGGUUAAGUUUCCUAGCCAUAGACAUGUGUUGUCAUUUGAUGAACGGGAUCACAUCAUUAGAGAAUGAUGUGAUGGACAAGACCCAUUCGUUAGCUUAGCAUUAUGAUAAUUUCAGUUUCAUUACUACUGCUUUCUUCAUGACUUAUACAUGUUCCUCUGACUAUGAGAUUAUGCAACUCCCGAAUACCGGAGGAACACCUUGUGUGCUAUCAAACGUCACAACAUAACUGGAUGAUUAUAAAGAUGCUCUAUAGGUGUCUCCAAAGGUGUUUUUUGGGUUGGCAUAGAUCGAGAUUAGGAUUUGUCACUCCGUGUAUCAGAGAGGUAUCUCUGGGCCCUCUCGGUAAUGCACAUCACUGUAAGCCUUGCAAGCAAUGUGACUAAUGAGUUAGUUGCGGGAUGAUGCAUUACGGAACGAGUAAAGAGACUUGCCGGUAAUGAGAUUGAACUAGGUAUGAUGAUACCGACGAUCGAAUCUCGGGCAAGUAACAUACCGUUGACAAAGGGAACAACGUAUGUUGUUAUGCGGUUUGACCAGUAAAGAUCUUCAUAAAAUAUGUAAGAGCCAAUAUGAGCAUCUAGGUUACGCUAUUGGUUAUUGACCGGAGAUGUGUCUCGGUCAUGUCUACAUAGUUCUCGAACCCGUAGGAUCCGCACGCUUAACGUUCGAUGACGAUUUCUAUUAUGGGUUAUGUGAUUUGAUGUACCGAAGGUUGUUCAGAGUCCCGGAUGAGAUGACGGACAUGACGAGAAGUCUCGAAAUGGCCGAGACGAAAAGAUCAAUAUAUUGGAAGGCUAUAUUCGAACAUCAGAAAGGUUCCGAGUGAUUCGGGUAUUUUUCGGAGUAUCGAAGAGUUACGGGGAUUCGCCGGGAGAAGUAAUGGGCCUUAUUGGGCUUUAGUGGAGAGAGGGGAGAAGGGCCAAGAGGUGGCACGCGCCUCCCCCCACCCAAACCGAAUUGGACAAGGGGUGGGGGCGCGUCCCCCCUUUCCUUCUCCCUCUCCCUCUCUUUCCUUCUCUCAUACUCCGAAUAGGAAAGAGGAGGGGAAUCCUACUUGGACUGGGGAGUCCUAGUAGGAUUCCCCACACCUGGCGCGCCCCCCUUGGGCCGGCCACCUCUUCCCUCCCCUCCUUUAUAUACGUGGCAGGGGCACCCCAAAGGCACUCAAGAUUUGUCUUAGCCGUGUGCGGUGCCCCCCUCCACUGUUACACACCUCGGUCAUAUCGUCGUAGUGCUUAGGUGAAGCCCUGCGCCCGUAACUUCAUCAUCACCGUCGCUACGCCGUCGUGCUGAUGAAACUCUCCCUCGGCCUCAACUGGAUCAAGAUUACGAGGGACGUCAUCGAGCUGAACGUGUGCUGAACACAGAGGUGUCGUACGUUCGGUGCUAGGAUCGGUCGGAUCGUGAAGACGUACGACUACAUCAACCGCGUUGAUAUAACGCUUUCGCUUUCGGUCUACAAGGGUACGUGGACACACUCUCCCCCUCGUUGCUAUGCAUCACCUAGAUAGAUCUUGCGUGAUCGUUGGAAUUUUUUUGAAAUUACUGCGUUCCCCAACAGUGGCAUCCGAGCCAGGUCUAUGCGUAGAUGUUAUAUGCACGAGUAGAACACGAAGAGAUGUGGGCGAUAAUAGUCAUACUGCUUACCAGCAUGUCAUACUUUGAUUCAGCGGUAUUGUUGGAUGAAGCGGCUCAGACCGACAUUACGCGUACGCUUACGCGAGACUGGUUCUACCGACGUGCUUCACACACAGGUGGCUAGUGGGUGUCUGUUUCUCCAACUUUAGUUGAAUCGAGUGUGACUAUGCCCGGUACUUGUUGAAGGUUAAAACAGCACACUUGACGAAAAAUCGUUGUGGUUUUGAUGCGUAGGUAAGAACGGUUCUUGCUAAGCCCGUAACAGCCACGUAAAACUUGCAGCAACAAAGCAGAGGACGUCUAACUUGUUUUUGCAAGGCAUGUUGUGAUGUGAUAUGGUCAAGACGUGAUGAUAUAUAAAUUGUUGUAUGAGAUGAUCAUGUUUUGUUAAAGUUAUCGGCAACCGGCAGGAGCCUUAUGGUUGUCUCUUUAUUGCAUAAGAUGCAAGCGCCAUAUAAUUGCUUUACUUUAUGGCUAUGCGAUAGCAAUAGUUGUAAAAGCAAUAGUUGGUGAGACAACCAUGUGACGACACGUUGAUAGAGAUCAAGAUGAUGGAGAUCAUGGUGUCAUGCUGGUGACGAUGGAGAUCAUGACGGUACUUUGGAGAUGGAGAUCAAAGGCACAAGAUAAUGAUGGCCAUAUCAUGUCACAUAUUUUGAUUGCAUGUGAUGUUUAUCUUUUAUGCAUCUUAUUUCGCUUAGUACGGCGGUAGCUUUAUAAGAUGAUCCCUUACUAAAAUUUCAAGGUAUAAUUGUUCUCCCUGAGUAUGCACCGUUGCAACAGUUCUUCGUGCUGAGACACCACAUGACGAUCGGGUGUGAUAAGCUCUACGUUCACAUACAACGGGUGCAAGCCAGUUUUGCACACGCAGAAUACUCGGGUUAAUCUUGACGAGCCUAGCAUAUGCAGAUAUGGCCUCGGAACACUGAGACCGAAAGGUCGAGCGUGAAUCAUAUAGUAGAUAUGAUCAACAUAGUGAUGUUCACCAUUGAAAGCUACUCCAUCUCACGUGAUGAUCGGACAUGGUUUAGUUGAUAUGGAUCACGUGAUCAUUUAGAUGACUAGAGGGAUGUCUAUCUAAGUGGGAGUUCUUAAGUAAUAUGAUUAAUUGAACUUUAAUUUAUCAUGAACUUAGUCCUGAUAGUAUUUGCAAAACUAUGUUGUAGAUCAAUAGCUCGCGAUGUAGCUCCCCGUUUAUUUUUUGAUAUGUUCCUAGAGAAAAGUAAGUUGAAAUAUGUUAGUAGCAAUGAUGCGGACUUGGUCCGUGAUCUGAGGAUUAUCCUCAUUGCUGCACAGAAGAAUAAUGUCCUUGAUGCACCACUAGGUGACAGAACUAUUGCAGGAGCAGAUACAGACGUUAUGAACGUUUGGCAAGCUCGGUAUGAUGACUACUUGAUAGUUUAAUGGACCAUGCUUUACGGCUUAGAACCGGGACUUCAAAAAUGUUUUGAACGCCAUGGAGCAUAUAAGAUGUUCCAAGAGUUGAAAUUGGUAUCUCAUACUCAUGCCCGUGUCAAGAGGUAUGUGACCUCUGACAGUACUUUGCCUACAAGAUGGAGGAGAAUAGCUCAACGAGUGAGCAUGUGCUCAGAAUGUCUGAGUACUACAAUCACUUGAAUCAAGUGGGAGUUAAUCUUCCCGAUAAGAUAGUGAUUGACAGAGUUCUCUAGUCACUAUCACCAAGUUAUUAGAACUUCGUGAUGAACUAUAAUAUGCAAGGGAUAACGGAAACAAUUCCCAAGCUCUUCGCGAUGCUGGAAUCGGCGAAGGUAGAAAUCAAGAAAAAGCAUCAAGCGUUGAUGGUUGACAAGACCACUAGUUUCAAGUAAAAGGGCAAGGGAAAGAAAGGGAACUUCAAGAAGAAUGGCAAGCAAGUUGCCACUCUUAUGAAGAGGCCCAAAGCUAGACCCAAGCCUGAAACUGAGUGCUUCUACUUCAAAGGAAAUGGUCACUGGAAGUGGAACUGCCCUAGAUACUUGGCGGAUAAGAAGGAUGGCAUAUUGAACAAAGGUAUAUUGGAUAUACAUGUUAUUGAUGUGCACUUUACUGGUGUUUAUAGCAACCCCUCGGUAUUUGAUACUGGUUCAGUUGCUAAGAGUAGUAACUCGAAACAGGAGUUGCAAAAUAAACAGAGACUAGUUAAGGGUGAGGUGAUGAUGUGUGUUGGAAGUGAUUCCAAGGUUGAUAAGAUCACCAUCGCACACUCCCUUUACCUUUGGGAUUAGUGUUGAACCUAAAAUAAAUGUUAUUUGGUGUUUGUGUUGAGCAUAAUAUGAUUGGAUCAUGUUUAUUGCAAUACGGUUAUUCAUUUAAGUCAAAGAAUAAUUGUUGUUCUAUUUACAUGAAUAAAACAUUCUAUGGUCAUACACUCAAUGUAAAUGGUUUAUUGAAUCUCGAUCGUAGUGAUACACAUAUUCAUAAUAUUGAAGCCAAAAGAUGCAAAGUUAAUAAUGAUAGUGCAACUUAUUUGUGGCACUGCCGUUUAGGUCAUAUUGGUGUAAAGCGCAUGAAGAAACUCCAUGCUGAUGGGCUUUUGGAAUCACUUUAUUAUGAAUAACAUGAUUCUUGCGAACCAUGCCUCAUGGGUAAGAUGACUAAGACUCUGUUCUCCGGACCAAUGGAGCGAGCAACUGACUUAUUGGAAAUAAUACAUACUGAUGUAUGCGGUCCGAUGAGUGUUCAGGCUCGCGGCGGGUAUCAUUAUUUUCUGACCUUCACAGAUGAUUUGAGCAGAUAUGGGUAUAUCUACUUGAUGAAACAUAAGUCUGAAACAUUUGAAAAGUUCAAAGAAUUUCAGAAUAAAGUGGAAAAUCAUCGUAACAAGAAAAUAAAGUUUCUACGAUCUGAUCGCGGAGACGAAUAUUUGAGUUACGAGUUUGGUCUUCAAUUAAAACAAUGUGGAAUAGUUUCACAAACUCAUGCCACCUGGAACACCACAACAUAAUGAUGUGUCCGAACGUCAUAACUGUACUUUAUUGGAUAUAGUGCAAUCUAUGAUGUCUCUUACCGAUUUACCACUAUCAUUUUGGGGUUAUGCAUUAGAGACAGCUACAUUCACGUUAAAUAGGGCACCGUCUAAUCCGUUGAGACGACACCGUAUGAACUAUGGUUUGGCUAGAAACCUAAGCUGUCGUUUCUUAAAGUUUGGGGUUGCGAUGCUUAUGUGAAAAAGUUUCAACCUGAUAAGCUCGAACUCAAAUCGGAGAAGUGCAUCUUCAUAGGAUACCCAAAAGAAAAUAUUGGGUACACCUUCUAUCACAGAUCCGAAGGCAAGAUCUUUGUUGCUAAGAAUGGAUUCUUUCUAGAGAAGAAGUUUCUCUUGAAAGAAGUGAGUGGGAGGAAAGUAGAACUUGAUGAGGUAAUUGUACCUUCUCCCGAAUUGGAACGUAGUUCAUCACAUAAAUCAGUUCCGGUGAUGCCUGCACCAAUUAGCGAGGAAGUUAAUGAUGAUGAUCAUGAAACUUCAGAUCAAUUUACUACCAAACCUCGUAGGUCAACCAGAGUACGUUCCGCACCAGAGUGGUACGGUAAUCUGGUUCUGGAAGUCAUGUUACUAGACCAUGACGAACCUACGAACUAUGAGGAAACGAUGAUGAGCCCAGAUUCCGCAAAAUGGUUUAAGGCCAUGAAAUCUGAGAUAGGAUCCAUGUAUGAAAACAAAGUAUGGACUUUGGUGGAAUUGCCCGAUGAUCGGCAAGCCAUUGAGAAUAAAUGGAUCUUCAAGAGGAAGACGGACACUGAUGGUAGUGUUACUAUCUACAAAGCUCGACUUGUCGCGAAAGGUUUUCGACAAGUUCAAGGUGUUGACUACGAUGAGUUUUUCUCACUCGUAGCGAUGCUUAAGUCUGUACGAAUCAUGUUAGCAAUUGCCGCAUUUUAUGAAAUCUGGCAAAUGGAUAAACAAAACUGCAUUCCUUAAUGGAUUUAUUAAAGAAGAGUUGUAUAUGAUGCGACCAGAAUGUUUUGUCAAUCCUAAAGGUGCUAACAAAAUAUGCAAGCUCCAGCGAUCCAUCUAUGGACUGGUGCAAGCAUCUCGGAGUUGGAAUAUACGCUUUGAUAAGUUGAUCAAAGGAUAUAGUUUUAUACAGACUUGCGGUGAAGCCUGUAUUUACAACAAAGUGAGUGGGAGCACUACAACCUUUCUGAUAAGUAUAUGUGAAUGACAUAUUGUCGAUCAGAAAUGAUGUAGAAUUUUUUGGAAAGCAUAAAGGAGUGUUUGAAAGGACUUUUUCAAAGAAAGACCUCGGUGAAGCUGCUUACAUAUUGAGCAUCAAGAUAUGUCGGGGUUUUGGUGCGACAUAUGCCAACGGGUGGCUUAUCAUGGUGGGGGAUAGUAAGACGUCGCUGGUGCCAGGAAGCGGGAUGAGGCAUAGACAUGUAUGCCGGCGAACUUUACCCAGGUUCGGGGCUCUCCUAGGAGAUAAGACCCCUAGUCCUGCUCUGCGGGGUCUCCGCGUGAUCACUAUCUCAACAAGCAGCUACAAGUUGCUCCUUGAGCUGUUUGCUAGAGGAAGAAGAAGGGCAAGGCUAGCUCUCUCCUCUCUCUCUCUGUGUGUGGUUGUGUAGUCUAAGGGUCCGAACCCUUUGUAUGGGUGCCCUGGGGGGUUUAUAUAGGCCUACCCCCAGGGGUACAAUGGUAAACUAGCCGGGUGUAGGCCCAGGCCGUCAGUGUCUCUCGUGGCUGGCUUCUCCGCUCGCUGCUGGGGCCCGCCGACUGGUGGGCCCCGCCGGCUGUCUUGUACUUGGCCGACAGGCCGCGCCAGCCGCUUGCGGGUCUUGCGGGCUGCUCAUCACUGUAGUCGUGCUUCUAAUGAUGCUUGCUUUGUCGGGGGAGGCGUGGCUACAGUCCCGCCGCCUGGUGGGCGUUCAUUGUAGCCAUUCCCCAUCUCUUCUGGUUAAUGGCGCACAAACUCCUAGGAAGGGGGAGGGCCGCCUUCUGGGUGCCGGCCUCCCCCUUGGCCAACUGGCUAAGGCUAGCCGCCUUCCGGUUCCUCACGGGCAGGUAGGGCCCACCACCUGCAGGUCGUACCAACAUCCCGUCGUGGGCGCAUGGUCCCUUCUGACUGGGAUGAUGUCAUGGGCGGAGGGGCCACAGUGCCGCGCCGUGCAGGAGAUCUCCGGCUGGUACGGCGCACUGUGGCCACGACCCGCCCUGGAUUCGAGGGUGUCAAGCUUUGCUGUAGCCACGCCCCGUCCCAUCGUGCUUAAGAGGGCGCAGGUUUUGAGGGCGCCUGGGGCCGCCUGCUAGGAGCCGGCCUCUCUGGAGGCCAUCUGCUAGGAGGCGGCCCGCUUCGUGGCCGUCUUCUGGGGUCCGCCGCCUUCCGGCAGCCGGCCGCUUGGACCAGCCGGCUUCGAGAAGGUGGCGACCAAGGUUUGAGGUUUGAGGGGCACAGUCGGCCCCGAUGUCUUGAAAUGCCAUGGGGGGCUGAUGAGGCUACCCAUGGCCAAUAACUCCGACAGUAGUCCCCGAAGCUGGUGGGUCGCCGCGGCUGACAAGGCGGGGUGCCCCUGCAGCUUCCCACUCUGAGUAGUCUUGUUUGCUCGUCUUGUCCGUCUUCUGGUAUGCCGACUGCUAGGAGCCGGAUGCGGUAGACGGCCGCUUGAUGAAUUUUGAACCGCCAAGGCGGGAACCAGGUGGCGUGCUAGCUAGGCAUCUAGGCUUGCCGCCCGCCGCUCGCACACCACGCGGCGUCAGCCAGCCAGGCCGGCCUGCCAGCCCACGAGCAUGACGGGACGUGCUGCAGGCCGGGCCCGCCACUACCAGGCCUCGGCGCACGCGGAUUCGCUGCGGCCGAGGCGGGGCGGUUGGGAUCCCUCGCGCCAUUACCACGCGUCUUUACCGUGUGGUAAAUGCGGGGUCGUGGGGACGUAGGCACAGUUAAUCCCACGACCCCACGCCCCGCCCCCUCGGCUUCACCGCUAGGGGCUAUAAAUCGGGGGAGAAGAGGAGCAGCAAAGGCACGCACGCUCUCCUCUCCCUCGUCUCCUCUUGCUUCUUCCUUUCCUUCGUCGCCGCCGCACUCGCACUCCGUCGAAGUGCUAUCGCUGCUCGUCGUCGCCUUCGAGCUUCUUCUUCCUGAGCUCUGUCUCCGCUCCGCCGCGGGCUCGCGCGCUAGUCACCGCCGUUCGUCUUCGUCGAGCUCGGGCCCUCAUGGAGCGCUCCGGCGACUGGGAUGGCUCCAAUGUCCUUGAAGACCAUCUCACAUUCCUCCGCGACACGCGGCAGCUGCCCGGCGCAGGCUACAUCAAGACGCGCGUGCCGCCCCCCGACAAGAUCUCGCCGGCGCCGGAGGAAGGCGAGCGCGUCAUCUUCCGCUCGCACUUCCUCCGUGGCUUUGGCCUGCCGGCGAGCGGCUUCCUCCGCUCGUUCCUGACUUUCUAUCGACUCCAGCCGCACCACCUCACACCGAACAUGGUGGUGCUGCUGUCGGCUUUCGCCACCCUCUGCGAGGGUUACCUUGGCAUCCUCCCCACCCUCGAGCUCUGGGGAGCCUUCUUCUACACCAAGCUUGGCACCUCUGCGAAGGAGGAGGCGACCCAAUGCGGGGCUUUCAUCGCAGUGCGGCACCCGUGUGCUAGAAACGCCUUCCCAGCCAUCAAGCUGAUACAGUCAGUCAAGCUAUGGCAGAAGUCAUACUUCUAUGUGAAGAACGUCGACCCGGCGAUCGACUUCAUCAACCUGCCGGCUUACGUGGCCGGUCCGCCUGCCGAGCCCUGCACCAACUGGGGCUUCAAGCCGCUGUCGCCCGACGCAUCCGCCGCCAUCGCCCGCCUCAAAGUGAUGAAGGAGUCGGAGGGCCUCAAGGCGUCCGACUUGUUGGUCGCCUUCGUGGUGCGUCGAGUCCUCCCGCUCCAAGUCCUGCCUCACAUCAUAAGCCAGAUGAGUGGGCAUCGCGACCCAUGCCGGAUGUGCACCAAGGAGAUGCCGACUGCCGAAGUGGCCUAUCUGGUGAAUGAGAUUGCCAACCUCAAGCUCGAGCCGGAGGAGGGGCGGUUCGGCAAGCGGCCGUACUCCCGCGCAGAUCCGCCGCCUAUGGUUAGCUCUUGAUUCUUUUCUUUUCCUCUUGUCGGCUUCUCUCUUGCCGGCUUCUCUCUUGCCGGCUGACCAGCUCGACCAUGACACAGGUCCUCCCCCUCCAACUGGAGGCCAACGUCGACUUCAUGCCGGACCGGGAAGUGAGCGACGUGGCGGACCCCGACUUGGGGGCGGCCGCCCUGGAGGACGACGCCACAGGCGGUGGUGGUGGAGCAGGCGGCUCCGUAGGAGGAGGAGGCGUGGAGGACUAGUCGGAUGACGACGAGGAGGAGGAAGAGGAGGAGGAGGUGCCGUGCCGCCUGCCGCCUUUUGACAGGGCGGGCGCAAGCUCCUCGGCCGCACCAACCGCACCAGGCGGUGGGUCAAAACGCCAAGGCGUGCUGCUAUUCGGCAGCCACCCCAAAAAGCCCAAGCACUCGGCCGCUACUGCCAAGAACACGGCCACAACGACUAAGCGGUGCGAGGCCGCCGCGAAGGCGGCCAAGUUCCAGAAGGCCCCCAAGCAGCCUUCGAUGGUGUCAGCGUAAGUUUCCAACUUAUCUAGUGUCUUCUUUUAAUCUUUUAUCUUGUCGACUCCUUCUGAAUCUCCUUCUUACUCUUCUCUUGAGCAGGGCCCCGCUCUCACUUGAGCGGCCGACCUCAGCCUCCGUCGUCAGGGCGGCGGAGGGCUCCACCAACAAUCUCCGUAUAGACCCUGCCGCCGAUCUCCGGGAGGCGCAGGAAAGGAACGCACGGGAGGUGCAGGAGGAGAAAGAGGACACCGCCAAGAAGCGGAGGCCGACAAGGCGGCCGCAGCCAAGGCGGCACAAGCGGACGCAGACACUACGGCCAAGCCCCAAGCCGACACCGCGGCGAAGGGAGGGGCGGAGAAUGCCGCACACCAGCAGAUCCCGUAGCUCAUCACCCCCCUGCGCUGCGCGCCACCAGCGCCAGAGUUCUUGGCGCCAGCUGGGGGAGCCGGUGAUGAGCAGUCGGUCAUGGAGAGGGAAGGCGGCGAUGCCGUCUUUCCAGAGGUGGAGGUGCCUCCGCAACCGCCGACUGCGGAUGCGCAAGGCAGUCAGCCGACCGCCCCAUUUGUGACGCCAGCCGGAGGCGAGCUGGUGGUGGGCUCGGCUCCCACGGCCUGCACUCCAGUGCGUCGCCGUGGCGAGAAAGCUGCAUCGGCGCUGAGGCCGAUGGAGGUCGGGAGCGCCAGUUCGUCGGCCCCUGAAGCUGAAGCCACCAGCGCCGCGCCGGCCGAGUGGGUGCACGGGGGCGGGACGAGCGCCUUGAUCAAGGCAGCACAAGAUGUCCAAGCCGAUUUCAAGGCCGAAGCCACUGCCCUCUCGCAAUGCAUGAAGGCGUUCGUGAAGACACGGGCCACCGUCCGGGUACGCAACUUGCUUUUUGCUCUUGAUUCUUGUAAUCUUUGGUGGGGGCGUGCCAGCGCACCCACUGGGUAUAGUUCCCGAGUUCUGGGCCUGCUGCUGAGCAGGCGACUUGGAACUUCAUAGUGGGUUCUGAGCUCUGGCUCACUUCUUUUUCUGUUGCUUUGUUGCAGGAUUACCACAACAUUCGCGCGGCCACCUUCAACGCCAAUGUCCGGGAGCUAGACCAACGGACCGCCGAUUUGACGGAAAGCCGGAGUAAGCACUCGGUCUUCUUUUCUCCGCAGGGGCGCGUCAGCGCACCCGCGGGCUGUAGUCCCCGAGAUGCGAGCCAACUACUGAGCAGUCGGGUCAGAUCUUCCGGUAGUUACUUUUCUUCCUUCUUGAUCGUUUAUAUCUUUUCUUUCUUGUUCUUGCACAAACCAACACCGUCUUGCAGCAGCAACUGGGCGAAGCCAACACCGCACUGCGUGCCAAGGAGGACGAGUGCAACAGGGUGGCCCAGGAGCGCGACCGCUUGGCCAAGGAACUGAAGGACCAGGCGGAGCUUCACAAGGCAGCCCUGAAGCAGGUGGAGGACAAUGAAGCCAAGCUCCUGGCCGAGUUCGAGACCGAGCGCACGGGUUGGGCUGAGAUGGAGGCGGCACUGACCGCUGGAUACGGCCAGAUCGAAGACAUAGUCGAUGGUGAGCUUUCUUCUCUUCUCUCAACUGCUGGCUUGUCUAACGAGCCAGCUUCUAGCUUCUGACUCCUGACUUAUUGUUCGCUUGUGCAGACAUCUUCCCCGAACAUUCCACCUUUGCCAACCAGGCCAUUGAGUCUCGCCGCAAGGAGCGAAGGGCGGAGGGCGCGAAGAUUGCUGUCGACGCCCCUCGGACCCUUGGCGAGUAGCUCCUUAGCAUUCAGGCUCAUCUCCAGCUGGCCCACCGGAUGCUCCGUCGGCUGUAGCAUGUUGGUUCUCAGGCAGUCUCCGCCCCCUGGCCAGAUAGGCAAGCCCCACGCACCCCCAGUCGGACCGCCGACUGGUUGGAAGCGGCCGCCGGCCGUCUUGAGGCGUGAAAGGGCUCCACGGCCCGAGCAGGAGCGCGGCGGGCCUUGGAGUUCGCCAAGGCGUGGUAUCCUGGGCUUGAUCUAGCCCAGUUGGCCAUGUUCCGGCAGGAAGCCAGCGCUGAGCUGGUGGCGCUGGAGUGCGACCUUACUAUCCGCGCCACCGCGAUCGCCGAGUACACCAACACCGGUGACUUCGUCCCUGAGCUGAACGAAAACAGUGCCGAGGUGCCGCCAGAAUGGUUCGGACUGAACCCGGAUGACGGUGAAGACUCGGUAGAGGAGAUCGCCUCUAGCGACGAGGGGGAAGACAAGGAAGACGAGGAUGAUGAAGACGGCGCACCGGAGGUCGAAGCGGGCGACCAGCCUCAACUCGACCGCGCCUCCAGCACUGAGCUGCGUGCAAGCACGCUGACUAUUGCUGAAAGUGGCCAAGCCGAAACUUGCUAGCCGGCCACCAGCCGGCGCCCCCGACUCCACCAACCUACCAGACUUGCCUGCCGCUCCUUUGGUCUAGGCCGCCAGUUUAUCGUAGCUUUUUCUGCUUAGUAGUUUUCUCAACAAACUUUUAUUAAAUUUGCACAAUUCCAUCUGCGGGGUGUAUUCAAACUAUGUUGAAUACUGGCCGAUGGCCUUUUGGUAUGUAAAUUAUUUCUCGCACAAGCCGUGCUUUUGCCGAGUUCCGACUUAUUCUUGAUUUUUGUUCCUUGGCUUUUUUCCUUUGCCGCCCUCCCAUGGUUUCCUAGUUGCCAACCGGACAGCCGCUUUGUGGACUACGGCCUAGUCAAGUAUUUCAUCGUUGUGGGAGGACAAGUACUUUGGCCGAUUGGAACGUUGCAAGCUAAGUAGGAAGCCGGCCGGCCGGCUGCUCAGCAGCCGGUCGGUGAGGCAAAGGGCCGACCUGUCCUAUGUCGAUGUUUCGGUCCUUAGCCAUUUUUCAUGUGAGCACUAUUUCUUGCCUUUAACUCUUGUCAAGUGAACAGUCGCUCUACGAGCUGUGGCUUGUGGCAAGAGAGGGCUUAGGUGCUUGCACAUUACUUGUCCGACUGCAGGAAACAUCGACAUAGUACAAGGCGGCAAGCCCCCAGGCCAACUAGUCGAACCCGGUUUCAGGCGGAGGAAUGAAAUAACACAUUCAUAGGCAGAAUACUUAUCAUAUUGAUAAAAAAGGGGUAGCCCUCGAGUGCUCCUCGAGGGACCCGAAGUCUUCUUACUUAAUACGAAAGGUAGCAUGGUACAUACUGCAUCAACUGUAAAAUCUUCGAAGGAGAUUUGCAUUCCAUGGGCGCUCUAUUUCCUUGCCGGAGUGGUCCCUCUUGCGCGCCCUGGGCUUCUGGGCAUCGAUCAGGUAGUAGGAGUCAUUGCCCAAGGCUUUGUUGAUGAUGAAAGGGCCUUCCCAAGGGGCCGAGAGCUUGUGUUGGCCGGCUGUUCGCUGGAUCAGCCGGAGCACAAGGUCUCCCUCUUGGAAGGAUCUUGGCUUGACCUUCCGGCUGUGGUAGCGGCUAGACUCUGCUGGUAGAUUGCGGACCGACUGAGUGCCAACAACCGGCCCUCUUCCAGCAGAUCGACGCCGUCUUCUCGUGUUUCCUUUGCCUCCGCCUCCGUGUACAUGGUGACGCGAGGUGAGUCGAACUCGAUGACAGUUGGGAUGACAGCCUCGGCAACAUGUACGAGGAAGAAGGGUGUGAAGCCGGUUGACUUGUUCGGAGUGGUGCGCAGACUCCACAGGACGGCCGGCAGCUCGUCGAGCUAGCAGCCGGCCGAACGCUCUAGAGGCUCGACCGGUCGGGGCUUGAUUCCGGACAAAAUGAGGCCGUUUGCUCGCUCAACCUGGCCGUUUGACUGUGGCUGGGCAACAAACGCUAAGUCCAGUCGGAUGCCCUGCGGCGCACAGAAACGGGCCAAGGCACCUUUGCCAAAAUUUGUGCCAUUGUCGGUGAUGAUGCUGUGCGGUACGCCGUACCGAGUGGUGAUGUCUGUAAUGAAAGUCACAGCAGUCGGACCGUUCAACUUCUUGAUUGGCUUUGCUUCUAUCCACUUGGUGAAUUUAUCCAUGGCAACGAGCAGAUGAGUCAUGCCGCCGCGUGCUGUCUUGAACGGUCCCACCAUGUCCAGUCCCCAGACGGCAAAAGGCCAGGCAAGGGGAAUGGUCUUGAGUGCAGAAGCUGGCAGAUAUUUCUUGGAACUGAACUUCUAGCACCCUUUGCAUUUCUUGACCAAGUCUUUGGCAUCUUCUAGAGCAGUAGGCCGGAAGAAACCGUGGCGAAAAGCUUUGGCCACAAGUGAUCUUGAGGGCGUGUGGUGGCCACACUCUCCUUGAUGGAUAUCCUUGAGGAUUGCUUGGCCCUUCUCCCGCUCUACGCAGCGCUGGUACACACUAGUGACACUGCGUCUCACAAGUUCCCUGUUGACGAUGGUGUAUGCUGCUGCCCGACGUUGCACCUGUCGGGCCGUGAUCUCAUCGGUUGGCAGCUCUUUGUUCACCAGAAACUUGAGGAUGGGCUCUGCCCAUGAUGGUGCUUGAAUUUCUUCUACUGCCACUAUGGCCACUUGUACAAGGACGGUUGGGUUGGGAGGUGGCGGGUUGGAGUCGGCCGCCGCUUGCUGUGUCGUUGAAGUCCCCAAGCCGACUGCUGCAGUCCCCGGGCCGGGAUCUGAAGUCCCCGGGCCGGGUGCGACUGCUGCAGUCCUCGAGACGCCUGCUGAAGUCCCCGAGCCGACUGCUGCAGCCUUUGAGUCAGAUCCGACGGUUUCAGGAGCAGCCAGCACGAAGAUAGACUCUGAUUUUGGAGAAGGCUUGAUCGACGGCUUGCGGAGGUACUGGAGGGAGACACCGGCUGGUAUUGCUUGACGGGUGGAGCCGAUCCGUGCCAAGGUAUCGGCUGGCUCAUUGUCGUUUCGUGGAACAUGAAGGAACUCACACCCUUCAAAAUAUCCACUGAGUUGCUGGACGAGGAAGCGGUAGCUUGCCAUAUUCGCAUCCUUGGUGUCCCAGUCGCCAGACGACUGUUGGACCACCAAGUCAGAGUCACCGUAGCACAGAAUCCGGCGAAUGCCGAGCUCUUUGGCAAGCCGGGGUCCGUGUACUAGUGCCUCAUACUCGGCCACAUUGUUGGAGGCGGCAAAAUGGAUUUGCAGUGUGUAUCUAAGCUUGUCGCCUUUGGGAGAGCUGAGGACGAUGCCGGCUCCCAAACCAGUGCGCAUCUUUGAACCAUCAAAGUGCAUCCGCCAAUGGGUGGAGUCCGGCGCUGGCGGCAGGUACUGGGUCUCGGCCCAGUCGACGAGGAAGUCGGCCAGCGCUUGGGACUUGAUGGUGGUGCGAGGCUGGUAGAAGAUGGUGUGGGGAGCCAACUCGAUGGCCCAUUUGGCCACUCGGCCUGAAGCAUCAUGGCUGCCUAUGAUCUCAGCAAGCGGGGCAGUGCAAACAACCGUGAUGGGGUGCUCUUGAAAAUAUGGCUUUAAUUUCUUGGCAGUAAAGUGCACGCCGUAGCACAUCUUCUGGUAGUGGGGGUAGUUUUGCUUGGAAGCAGACAACACUUCACUCAGAUAAUACACCGGUCUCUGGACCGGCACAACCUUGCCGUCUUCCUUGCGCUCAACUACCAUGACUGUGCUGACCACCCGGCUGGUGGCGGCGAUGUAGAGGAGCAUGGGCUACUUAGCAGCCGGCGCGGCCAGGACAGGCGGCGUGGUCAACAUCUUCUUGAGUUGGAGAAAAGCCUCAUCCGCCUUGUCAUUCCACUCGAAGUGAGUGGUUUUCUUCAGGAGCUGGUACAGGGGAAGUGCCUUCUCGCCUAGCCGACUGAUGAAGCGGCUGAUGGAUGCCAGGCAGCCGGUGAACUUCUGGACAUCUCUCAGUCGGGUAGGCUUCUCCAUCCUCUCGAUGGCCUUGAUCUUCAUAGGGUUGCACUCGAUGCCGCGUUCGGAGGCCAGGAAGCCGAGGAGCUGGCCGGCUGGUACUCCGAACACGCACUUCUCGGGGUUGAGCUUGAUCUGAAAUCAGCGCAGAUUUUCAAAAGUCUCCUUGAGAUCUUCUAGGAGGGUCCCACGCUUCUCCGUCUUCACCUCAACAUCGUCCACAUAGACGUGGGAGUUUCUGCCAAGCUGCUUGAGGAGGCACUUCUGCAUGCAAUGCUGAAACGUGGCGCCGGCGUUCCUCAAGCCGAACAUCAUUGUCAGGUAGCAGAAGGCUCUGAAUGGUGUGAUGAAAGAGGUCUUCAGCCUAUCAGCCAGGUUCAACUUGAUCUGGUGGUACCCUGAAUAUGCAUCCAAAAAACUCAACAGCUCGCAUCCGGCUGUAGAGUCUAUCACUUGGUCAAUCCUUGGCAAGGCAAAUGAAUCUUUGGGGCAAGCAUUGUUGAGGCUGGUAUAAUCAAUACACAUGCACCACUUGUUGUUCUUCUUCAGUACAAGGACUGGGUUGGCCAGCCAAUCUGGAUAGAAUACUUCCAUAAUGAAGCUGGCUGCUAGGAGCCGGGCUAUCUCUUCACCGACAAUUCUUCUCUUCUCCGACAGGCGGCGGAGGGGUUGCUUGACCGGUUUGGCGUCAGGUCGGACGUGUAGCUUGUGCUCGGCGAGAUCCGUUGGAACACCCGGCAUGUCCUUAGGAGACCAUGCAAAGAUGUCCCGAUUCUCAUGGAGGAAAUCGAUGAGCUCGCUUUCCUAUUUGCUGUCGAGGUUUGCACCUAUGACAGCAUACCUCUCCGGGUGCUCUGGGUCCAAUGGCAUCUUCUUUGUCUCCUUGGCCGGCUUGAAGGAGCCCUCAGCUUCUGACUCCUUGGGAUCAGGGGACAUGUCCGGCUGCUUGUCGGCCAUGGCCACAACCCGGUCAAGGAGCCGCUUCUCGGCAGCGAUUAGGGGACAUGUCCGACUGCUAGCGGCCGCAUAGGCAGACGACUUCUGGUAAUAACCCCUUUGGUACUUGGCAUCUUCAUCUUGAGGUAAGCAUAGUGCGGCACCGCCAUGAAUUUGGCCAAGGAAGGUCGGCCAAGCAGUGCAUGGUAAGGGCUCUCAAGGUCAACUACUUCAAACCAAAUGGGCUCUCGGCGGAAAUGAUCUUUGUCUCCAAAGAGGACAUCUAUCUUGAUCUUGCCGAUUGGUGAGUGAGAUAGGCCAGGAACUAUGCCAUGGAAGACAGUCCGACUGGGCAGGAGAUGCUUUGGCUUGAUGUUCAACUUCUCCAUGGUGUCGCGGUACAGGAUGUUGAUGCUGCUACCGCCAUCUAUCAGGACUCGGGAGAAGCGAGUAGCUCGCCUCUCCCUAGCAAAGGUGGCUUCCAAUACCAGAGCAUAGGAACUCGGAGAAGGCAUUACUUCCGGAUGGUCGGCUCGGCUCCAACUGAUUGGCUUUUCUAACCAGUGCAUGAACUCUGGAGCUUCCGUAGCUACGACAUUCACCUCUCGGGAGUGCUGGCGAUGGCCGCGCCUGUCAUUGGCCACACUGGUGAAGACGACGUAGGCUCCUUGCUCUUCUGGGUACUCGUCUUGGAUGGCGGCAACUGGCCGGGGGGCCUGCUGCGGAGGAGGAGGCGGCGGCGGCUGGCCAGCAGGCGGAGGAGGCAGCAAUCCUUCGCUCUUGGAGAUUCGGGUGAGCCAGUGACACUUCUGAGUGAUGUGGUUGGACGGCUUCGCGCCACUGUGGAACUUGCAGGGCGCAUCAAGGGUUUGCUCACAGGAGAAGGCGGGCAACCAAUUUGGCUUGCCGCCCCUCUGACGUUUGGGAGCAAGCUGCCCCUCCGGCUGCUGGUCUUCGACUGUCGCCACCUGCCGGCUGGUGGGAGCCGGCUGUGGCGCCUUGCGCUUGUUGUUGUUUUGUUGCUGACGCCAACUGGUGUCACCAGCCGGAGUCCGAGGGGCCCGAGGAGCCACUUUGCUGGAUGCAUCAACUUGAAUCUCCAUCUUCAUGGAAGAGUCGGCCGUGGCGUACUUGUCUGCUAUGAUCAGCAGCUCAUCGAGGGUUGCCGGCUCGUCGCAGAGAAGUCGGUGCUUGAGCAGGGUGCCUUCUCUGCACCUGGCUGUGAAGUACUCAAUGGCCUGCACCUCGUGCACGCCUUCAUAAGAGUUGCGCAGCUUGGCCCAACGCAUGAGGUAGUCGCGAGUCGAUUCGGCGGGACCUUGGACGCACAAGGUGAGCUGACGAGGCUUGGGAGGCCGCUUGUAUGUGCUGGUGAAGUUGCGGAUGAAGGCUUCAGUGAAAUCUACCCAGCUGUUGAUGCUGCAGGGCUUCAGGCUGUUCAGCCAUGUCCGGGCGGUGCCCUGUAGCAUGAGCGACACGUACUUCACGGCAACGCGCUUGUUGCCGUUCGCUAUGCUGACGGCCGUGGAGUAGUCGACCAACUAGUCUUCCGGCUUCACGGAGCCGGUGUACUUGGGCGUGCUCUUGGGAGCGUGAACCCUUUGGGGAAGAGCUCGUCGCGGAUGCGGGGGCCGAAACAAGGCGGGCCCAGUGCGUCUUCUUCUUCUAGCGCCAGGGAUCGAUUGAGGCGGUCGAUCCGGUGGCAGGCAUCGUUUUCUCCGAUUCCUUCUCGGGGGCCAAGCCGGCCACCGAGACUCGGGUGAUCAACAGGCGGCGGGGAGACGCGCCUUUCUCUGCACAGAGGAGGCUGAUAGUCGCCUGGUCGUUCCACCGCUCGUGGGCGGCCGUCUUGAUCGCACUCGAUGGUGAUGUGCAUCCGACUGAGGUUUGUAGCCAGCUCCUUGUCUCGUCGUCUGCGGGCGCUGCCAGUCGGUGUCCGGGAUGUCGUGUCGUGCUCUUGGCGAGGAGGCGGGUCAUCAUUCCGCUGGUUGGGCUCCUCGACGUGACAGCCGGCUUCUUGCUGCUCAGCGGCCGCGUCAAUGAGCCGUUGGACGCGCUCCGUCAUGUGGCGACGCUCGUCGCCCUCAAGGUUGUCCAGCUCAUCUACUGCCGCCUGGGCAGCUCGUAUGUUUUCCCUGGGCGUAGCGUAGACAGGGCGGUCUUCCCUGAACAUGCUAGCAAUGGCCGUGCCGUGUUGCCGGACCGUGCCGAUGUGGCUGGGCCCGCCAGGAGCCGGCGUGCCGCCGACAGCGCGAUCCAUCUCACGCUGGUAAGCCUCCGAGAGGCGUCUCAUGCUGGCUAGCUUCUUGGCGCUCUCGACGAGCUAGACGCGGCGGGCUUCCAGUGUCUCGGUGUCGGCAUCUUCUGCAAUGGGUGCAGACAGGUCUCGUAGCGUCGCCUCGAACGGGUCUCGAGCGCCGUCACCGGAAGCUCCAUCGUGACUAAUGACGAGCACCUCCGUGAUGGUGCUGCCGCCGCUGUCAUAGCGAGGGAGAGGAUCGUCGAUGACCACCACAUUGGUGGGGAACACGUCGAGGGAUGCCGUGUCGGAGUCGACAAGCAUUGGGUCGGUGGAGCCGGUCGACUCCAAGUCGAAGGCCGGCUCGUUGGCGAUGUGGAGCUGGUCGAGGAGGCUGACGAGGCAGCUCUCUGGGCCGUCUGUGCCUGCGUCGGAUGCAAGCUCGUCGGAGAGGUGGAUCUCGCCAACAAGGUCAGCGAGGCAACUUGCAGCGCAAGCGACCUCCGCGCUAUGCAGCGCGUCGGUGCAAACGCCGUCUGGCGUGCCGGGCUGGCUACGCUCGCCAAGAAGGAAGAGGGUUCCCGUCCAGAAUAGAUCUCCGAACGAUGGUGCACCUAGCCCCAAGGUGGGCACCAAAUGUCGGGGUUUUGGUGCGACAUAUGCCAAUGGGUGGCUUAUCAUGGUGGGGGAUAGUAAGACGUCGCCGGUGCCAGGAAGCGGGAUGAGGCGUAGACAUGUACGCCGGCGAACUUUACCUAGGUUCGGGGCUCUCUUAGGAGAUAACACCCCUAGUCCUGCUCUGCGGGGUCUUGAUACGUCCAUUUUGCAUCAUGCUUUUAUAUUGAUAUUUAUUGCAUUAUGGGCUGUUAUUACACGUUAUGUCACAAUACUUAUGCCUAUUCUCUCUUAUUUUACAAGGUUUACAUGAAGAGGGAGAAUGCUGGCAGCUGGAAUUCUAGGCUGGAAAAGGAGCAAAUAUUAGAGACCUAUUCUGCACAACUCCAAAAGUCCUAAAACUCCACGGAAGUUAUUUUUGGAAUUAAUAAAAAAUACUGAGCGAAGAAAGUACCAGAGGGGGCCACCCAACAUCCAUGAGGGUGGGGGCGCGCCCUACCCCCUGGGCGCGCCCCCUGCCUCGUGGGCCCCCUGGCAGGCCUCCGGUGCCCAUCUUCUGCUAUAUGAAGUCUUUUACCCUGGAAAAAAUCAUAAGCAAGCUUUCGGGACAAAACACCGCCGCCACGAGGCGGAACCUUGGCGGAACCAAUCUAGGGCUCCGGCGGAGCUGUUCUGCCGGGGAAACAUCCCUCAGGGAGGGGGAAAUCAUCGCCAUCGUCAUCACCAACGAUCCUCUCAUCGGGAGGGGGUUAAUAUCCAUCAACAUCUUCACCAGCACCAUCUCAUCUCAAACCCUAGUUCAUCUCUUGUAUCCAAUCUUUGUCCCAAAGCCUCAGAUUGGUACCUGUGGGUUGCUAGUAGUGUUGAUUACUCCUUGUAGUUGAUGCUAGUUGGUUUAUUUGGUGGAAGAUCAUAUGUUCAGAUCCUUUAUGCACAUUAAUACCCCUCUGAUUAUGAACAUGAAUAUGAUUUGUGAGUAGUUACGUUUGUUCCUGAGGACAAGUCUUGCUAUAAGUAGUCAUGUGAAUUUGGUAUUCGUUCGAUGUUUUGAUGAGAUAUAUGUUGUCUUUCCUCUAGUGGUGUUAUGUGAACGUCGACCACAUGACACUUCACCAUUGUUUGGGCCUAGAGGAAGGCAUUGGGAAGUAAUAAGUAGAUGAUGGGUUGCUAGAGUGACAGAAGCUUAAACCCUAGUUUAUGAGUUGCUUCGUAAGGGGCUGAUUUGGAUCCAUAGGUUUCAUGCUAUGGUUAUGUUUACCUUAAUACUUCUCUUGUAGUUGCGGAUGCUUGCAAUAGGGGUUAAUCAUAAGUGGGAUGCUUGUCCAAGAAAGGGCAGUACCCAAGCACCGGUCCACCCACAUACCAAAUUAUCAAAGUAACGAACGUGAAUCAUAUGAGCGUGAUGAAAACUAGCUUGACGAUAAUUCCCAUGUGUCCUCGGGAGCGCUUUUCUCUAUAUAAGAGUUUGUCCAGGCUUGUCCUUUGCUACAAAAAGGAUUGGGCCAUCUUGCUGCACCUUAUUUACUUUCAUUACUUGUUACUCAUUACAAAUUACCUUAUCACAAAACUAUCUGUUACCGAUAAUUUCAGUACUUACAGAGAAUACCUUACUGAAAACCGCUUGUCAUUUCCUCCAGCUCCUCGUUGGGUUCGACACUGUUACUUAUCAAAAGGACUACGAUAGAUCCCCUAUACUUGUGGGUCAUCAAGACACUUUUCUGGCACCGUUGCCGGGGAGUGAAGUGCCUUUGGUAGGUGGAAUUUGGUAAGGAAAAAUUUAUAUAGUGUGCUGAAAUUUACUGUCACUUGUUACUAUGGAACAUAAUCCUUUGAGGGGCUUGUUCGGGGUAUCUUCACCCCGACCAGUAGAGCAAAGAGUUGCUCCUCAACCUACUGAACCUACUGAAAAUGUUUACUUUGAAAUUCUUUCGGGUAUGAUAGAGAAACUGCUAGCUAAUCCUUUUACAGGAGAUGGAACAUUACAUCCCGAUUUGCACCUAAUCUAUGUGGAUGAAGUUUGUGGAUUAUUUAAGCUUGCAGGUAUGCCCGAGGAUGUUAUCAAGAAGAAGGUCUUCCCUUUAUAUUUGAAGGUAAAGGCAUUGACAUGGUUUAGGCUAUGUGAUGAUAUGGAAUCAUGGAACUACAACCGAUUGAAAUUGGAAUUUCAUCAGAAGUUUUAUCCUAUGCAUCUUGUUCAUCGUGAUCGUAAUUAUAUAUAUAAUUUUUGGACUCGUGAAGGAGAAAGCAUCGCUCAAGCUUGGGGGAGGCUUAAGUCAAUGUUAUAUUCGUGCCUCAAUCAUGAGCUCUCAAGAGAAAUUAUUAUUCAAAAUUUUUAUGCUCGGCUUUCUCUCAAUAAUCGCUCCAUGCUCGAUACUUCUUGUACUGGUUCUUUUAUGAUGAAGACUAUUGAAUUCAAAUGGGAUUUAUUGGAAAGAAUUAAAUGCAUAGAUUGGGACCUCGAUGAAGGUAAGGAGUCAAGUAUAACACCUAAGUUUGAUUGUGUUAAAUCUUUUAUGGAUACUGAUGUUUUCCGUGAAUUUAGCACUAAAUAUGGACUUGACUCUGAGAUAGUAGCUUCUUUCUGUGAAUCCUUUGCUACUCAUGUUGAUCUCCCUAAGGAGAAGUGGUUUAAAUAUAAUCCUCCCAUUGAAGUAAAAGUAGUUGCACCUAUUAAAGUUGAAGAAAAGACUAUCACUUAUAAUGUUGAUCCUAUUGUUCCUACUGCUUAUAUUGAGAAACCACCUUUUCCUGUUAGAAUAAAGGAUCAUGCUAAAGCUUCAACUGUGGUUCGUAAGAGUAAUACUAGAACACCUACACCCCCUGAGCAAAUUAAAGUUGAACCUAGUGUUGCUAUGGUUAAAGAUCUCUUGGCCGAUAUUAUUGAUGGGCAUGUUAUUUACUUCUGUAAUGAAGCUGCUAGAAUUGCUAGACUGAUACUAAGGGUAAACAUAGACCUGUUGUUGGCAUGCCUGAUGUUUCUGUUAAAAUAGGAGAUCAUUGCUAUCAUGACUUAUGUGAUAUGGGUGCUAGUGCAAGUGCAAUACCUCAUUCCUUAUACAAAGAAAUUAUGCAUGAUAUUGCACCCGCUGAGAUAGAAGAGAUUGAUGUUACAAUUAAGCUUGCCAAUAGAGAUACUAUUUCACCAGUUGGGAUUGUUAGAGAUGUUGAAGUCUUGUGUGGGAAAGUUAAAUAUCCUACUGAUUUUAUUGUUCUUGGCUCCCCACAAGAUGACUUUUGUCCCAUUAUAUUUGGUAGGCCCUUCUUGAAUACUGUUAAUGCUAAGAUAGAUUGCGAAAAUGAUAUUGUUACUGUUGGUUUGGGGGAUAUGUCUCAUGAGUUUAAUUUUGCUAAAUUUCGUAGACAACCCCAUGAUAAAGAACUGCCUAGUAAAGAUGAAAUUAUUGGUCUUGCUUCUAUUGCGGUGCCUCCUAAUGAUCCUUUAGAACAAUAUUUGCUCGACCAUGAAAAUGAUAUGUUUAUGAAUGAAAGAAGGGAAAUAGAUGAAGUAUUCUUUAAACAGGGACCUAUUUUGAAACACAACUUGCCUGUUGAAAUCCUAGGGGAUCCUCCUCCACCCAAGGGUGACCCUGUGUUUGAGCUUAAACCAUUACCUGAUACUCUUAAAUAUGCUUACCUUGAUGAGAAGAAGAUAUAUCAUGUUAUUAUUAGUGCUAACCUUUUAGAGCAUGAAGAAAAGAAAUUAUUGAAAACUCUAAAGAAACACCGUGUUGCUAUUGGAUAUACUCUUGAUGAUCUUAAGGACAUUAGUCCCACUUUAUGCCAGCACAAAAUAAAAUUGGAGAAAGAAGCUAAACCAGUUGUUGAUCACCAACGACGGUUAAAUCCUAAGAUGAAAGAAGUGGUAAGAAAAGAAACACUAAAGAUUCUGGACGCAGGUAUAAUUUAUCCGUUGCUGAUAGUCAGUGGGUAAGUCCUAUCCAUUGUUUCCCUAAGAAGGGAGGGAGGGAUUACUGUUGUUCGUAAUGACAAAGAUGAAUUGAUCCCACAAAGAAUUAUUACAGGUUAUAGAAUGGUAAUUGAUUUCCACAAAUUAAAUAAAGCUACUAAAAAAGAUCAUUACCCUUUACCUUUUAUUGAUCAAAUGCUAGAAAGAUUAUCCAAACAUACACAUUUUUGGUAUCUAGAUGGUUAUUCUGGUUUCUCUCAAAUACCUAUGUUAAAAGAGGAUCAAGAAAAGACCACUUUUACUUGCCCUUUCGGUACCUUUGCUUAUAGACGUAUGCCUUUUGGUUUAUGUAAUGCACCUGCUACCUUUCAAAGAUGCAUGAUGGCUAUAUUCUCUGAUUUUUGUGAAAAUAUUGUUGAGGUUUUCAUGGAUGAUUUCUCCGUAUAUGGAACUUAUUUUGAUGAUUGCUUGAGCAACCUUGAUCGAGUUUUGCAGAGAUGUGAAGAAACUAACCUUGUCUUGAAUUGGGAGAAGUGCCACUUUAUGGUUAAUGAAGGUAUUGUCUUGGGGCAUAAAAUUUCUGAAAGAGGUAUUGAAGUUGAUAAUGCUAAAGUUGAUGCUAUUGAAAAGAUGCCGUGUCCCAAGGACAUUAAAGGUAUAAGAAGUUUCCUUGGUCAUGCCGGUUUUUAUAGGAGGUUCAUUAAGGACUUCUCUAAAAUCUCCAGGCCUCUCACUAAUCUCUUACAAAAAAUAUUCCUUUUGUCUUCGAUGAUGAUUGUGUAGAAGCAUUUGAAAUACUUAAGAAAGCUUUGAUUUCUGCACCUAUUGUUCAGCCACCUGAUUGGAAUUUACCCUUUGAAAUUACGUGUGAUGCCAGUGAUUAUGCUGUAGGUGCUAUUCUAGGACAAAGAGUUGAUAAGAAAUUAAAUGUUAUCCAAUAUGCUAGUAAAACUCUAGACAGUGCCCAGAGAAAUUAUGCUACUACUGAAAAAGAAUUUUUAGCAGUUGUGUUUGCUUGUGAUAAGUUCAGACCUUAUAUUGUUGAUUCUAAAGUAACUGUUCACACUGAUCAUGCUGCAAUUAAAUAUCUUAUGGAAAAGAAAGAUGGUAAACCUAGACUUAUUAGAUGGGUUCUCUUGCUACAAGAAUUUGAUUUCCAUAUUAUUGAUAGAAAGGGAGCUGAGAACCCCGUUGCGGACAACUUGUCUUGGUUAGAGAAUGUUCUUGAUGACCCACUACCUAUUGAUGAUAGCUUUCCUGAUGAACAAUUGGCUGUCAUAAAUGCUUCUCGUGCUGCUCCAUGGUAUGCUGAUUAUGCUAAUUACAUUGUUGCUAAAUUUAUACCACCUAGUUUCACAUACCAGCAAAAGAAAAAGUUUUUCUAUGAUUUAAGACAUUACUUCUGGGAUGACCCACACCUUUAUAAAGGAGUAGAUGGCGUUAUUAGACGUUGUGUGCCUGAGCAUGAACAGGAACAGAUCCUACGCAAGUGUCACUCCGAAGCUUAUGGGUGACACCACGCUAGAUAUUGAACUGCGCAUAAGGUAUUGCAAUCCGGUUUUUAUUGGCCUACUCUCUUCAAAGAUGCCCGUAAGUUUGUCUUGUCUCGUGAUGAAUGUCAAAGAAUUGGUAAUAUUAGUAGACGUCAAGAAAUGCCUAUGAAUUAUUCACUUGUUAUUGAACCAUUUGAUGUUUGGGGCUUUGAUUAUAUGGGACCGUUUCCUUCCUCUAACGGGUAUACACAUAUUUUAGUUGCUGUUGAUUACAUUACUAAGUGUGUAGAAGCUAUUCCAACUAGUAGUGCUGAUCAUAACACCUCUAUUAAGAUGCUUAAAGAAGUUAUUUUUCUGAGGUUUGGAGUCCCUAGAUAUUUAAUGACUGAUGGUGGUUCACACUUUAUUCAUGGUGCUUUUCGUAAAAUGCUUGCUAAGUAUGAUGUUAAUCAUAGAAUUGCAUCCCCAUAUCACCCACAGUCUAGCGGUCAAGUAGAAUUGAGUAAUAGAGAGCUCAAAUUAAUUUUGCAAAAAGACUGUUAAUAGAUCUAGAAAGAAUUGGUCCUAGAAACUUGAUGAUGCAUUAUGGGCCUAUAGAACUGCAUAUAAAAAUCCUAUGGGUAUGUCUCCGUAUAAAAUGGUUUAUGGGAAAGCAUGUCACUUACCUCUCGAACUAGAACAUAAGGCAUAUUGGUCCAUUAAAGAGCUCAAUUAUGAUUUCAAACUUGCCGGUGAGAAGAGGUUAUUUGACAUUAGCUCACUUGAUGAAUGGAGAACCCAAGCUUAUGAGAAUGCCAAACUGUUUAAAGAAAAAGUUAAAAGAUGGCAUGACAAAAGGAUACAAAAGUGUGAGUUUAAUGUAGGUGAUUAUGUGUUUCUAUUCAACUCUCGUUUAAGAUUUUUUGCAGGAAAACUUCUCUCUAAAUCGGAAGGUCCUUACGUUAUCGACGAGGUCUAUCAUUCCAGUGCCAUAAAAAUCAACAACUUCGAAGGCACAAAUCCAAAUGUGGUGAACGGUCAAAGAAUCAAACAUUAUAUCUCAGGUAAUCCUAUAAAUGUUGAAACUAAUGUUAUUGAAACCGUAACCCCAGAGGAAUACAUAAGGGACACUUUCCAGAACGUUUCAGACUCCGAAAAGGAAUAGGUACGUGGUACGGUAAGUAAACCGACUCUAAAACAGUUGUAAUGGUAAUUUUUCUCCGUUUUGUAAUAUUCAAGAAAAUAGGAAAAUAAGAAGUAGUCCGAAGAGGACACGAGGCAUCCACGAGGGUGGAGGGCGCGCCCUACCCCCCUGGGCGCGCCCCCCUGCCUUGUGGGCACCUCGUGUGCCCUCCGGACUCCGUUUUCUUGCACGAUACUUCUUUUGGUAGGUAAAAAUUCAUUAUAUAAUCUCCCGAAGGUUUUAACCACCGUAUCACACAAAUAUCCUCUGUUUUUGUUUCGAGCUGUUUUCUGCCAGAGUUGUCAAGGCCAGGCAUCAUGUCGUCCCCCUCCUCCAACAACGAGGGCAACGAUGCUUGGCUAAUGAAGAUAGAGCUGAAGAGAGAAGAACCCGGGGAGAUCACCAAGGAUGAUGGGAUCAAGAAGGCCAUGGAGGACCAAGCUCCGGCAGCAGAAGACGAAGACAUCCUCCCACCUCAUCACAAUCUUCUUACCCCAACGGAGAUUGAAGCUUUCAAGAUAAUUGAGUUAGCUCGCAUACAAAAUAAGUAUCUCACACGUGAAAAUAUUUUGUUGAAGGAGCAUAUCACUGCACUCAAGGGCAUUAUCCGCAAAUUGGAGGACCUCCUGCGCUCGAUGUGUGACUAUCCAUCAUCACCACCAUCUUCUUCAUCAACAAAGGAGAACUGAGUAUCGGGUAUGGGCACUCCCCUUGGCAACUGCCAAGCUUGGGGGAGGUGCCCCAGGUAUCGUAUCACCAUCACACUCCUAUCUUUACCUUUUUCUUAGUUCGAUCCUUUUGGUAAUAUCUUGAUUUAGUAGAAUAAAGUAUUAGUAUGAUUUAGUUUUGAGUUUUGCUUUAUGAUCCUUCUAUGUAAUCGAGUCCGUGAGCUAUAUAUAAUAAAGAUUAGUGUUGAGUCAAGGGCUUGAUUAUCUUGCUAUGAUCUUGAGGGAAUAAAAAUAAAAGAAAAGAGAAAGAAUAAAAAGAAGUAAAGAGAUCAUAUUGAUCUUAUGGAGAGUAAUGACUUACAUAUAAAGAGUAUGAUGAAUAAAAAUUGUUGAGAGUUGACAAACAUAGUUUUGGUCAUCGUUGCAAUUAAUAGGAAGUAAUAAAGAAAGAGAGGUUUUCACAUAUAAAUAUACUAUCUUGGUUCUUGGACAUCUUUUAUGAUUGUGAGCACUCAUUAAAAUAUGACAUGCUAAAGAGUUGAUGUUGGACAAGGAAGACAACGUAAUGGGUUAUGUUUUCUUAUAUCCGAAAUAAAGUAUAUUGUCAUGGAUCAUCCAACAUGUUGAGCUUGCCUUUCCGUCUCAUGCUAGCAAAAUUCUUUGCACGAAGUAGAGAUACCACUUGUGCUUCCGAAUAUCCUUAAACCCAGUUCUGCCAUGAGAGUCCACCAUACCUACCUAUGGAUUGAGUAAGAUCCUUCAAGUAAGUUGUCAUGUUGCAUGCAAUAAAAAUUUCUCUCUAAAUAUGUAUGAUUUAUUAGUAUGGAGAAAAUAACCUUUAUACGAUCUUGUGAUAUGGAAGCAAUAAAAGCGACGGACUGCAUAAUAAAGGUCCAUAUCACAAGCGGCAAUAUAAAGUGACGUUCUUUUGCAUUAAGAUUUCGUGCAUCCAACCAUAAAAGCACAUGGCAACCUCUGCUUCCCUCUGCGAAGGGCCUAUCUUUUAUUCUUGUCUUAUACCUUAUGCAAGAGUUAUGGUGAUCUUUACCUUUCCUUUUUACACUUUAUCCUUUGGCAAGCACAUUGUGUUGGAAAGAUCCUGAUAUAUAUAUCCAAUUGGAUGUACGUUGGCAUGAAUUAUUAUUGUUGACAUUACCCUUGAGGCAAAAGGUUUGGAGGCAACACUAUAAGCCCCUAUCUUUCUCUGUGUCCGAUUAAAACUCCAUACCCAUAAGUAUUGUGUGAGUGUUAGCAAUUAUGAAAUACUAAAUGAUAGUUGAGUGUGCGGACUUGCUGAAAAGCUCUUAUAUUGACUCUUUCCGAUGUUAUGAUAAAUUGCAAUUGCUUCAAUAUCCGAGAUCAUAGUUUGUUAGUUCUCAAUGAAGUUUCUGAUUCAUACUUGACAUUGUGAAUAGAUUGUUACUUGAGCAUAAGAAAUCAUAUGACAAUAUCUAUAUGUUGUUGUUAUAAGAAUGAUCAUGAUGCCCUCAUGUCCGUAUUUUAUUUUAUCGACACCUCUACCUAUAAACAUGUGGACAUAUUUAUCGUUAUCGGCUUCCGCUUGAGGACAAGCGAGGUCUAAACUUGGGGGAGUUGAUACGUACAUUUUGCAUCAUGCUUUUAUAUCGAUAUUUAUUGCAUUAUGGGCUGUUAUUACACGCUAUAUCACAAUACUUAUGCCUAUUCUCUCUUAUUUUACAAGGUUUACAUGAAGAGGGAGAAUGCCGGCAGCUGGAAUUCUGGGCUGGAAAAGGAGCAAAUAUUAGAGACCUAUUCUGCACAAUUCCAAAAGUCCUAAAACUCCACGGAAGUUAUUUUUGGAAUUAAUAAAAAAUACUGAGCGAAGAAAGUACCAGAGGGGGGCCACCCACCAUCCACAAGGGUGGGGGGCACGCCCUACACCCCUGGGCGCGCCCCCUACCUCGUGGGCCCCCUGGCAGGCCUCCGGUGCCCAUCUUCUGCUAUAUGAAGUAUUUUAACCUGGAAAAAAUCAUAAGCAAGCUUUCGGGACAAAACACCGCCGCCACGAGGCGGAACCUUGGCGGAACCAAUCUAGGGCUCCGGCGGAGCUAUUCUGCCGGGGAAACAUCCCUCCGGGAGGCGGAAAUCAUCGCCAUCGUCAUCACCAACGAUCCUCUCAUCGGGAGGGGGUCAAUCUCCAUCAACAUCUUCACUAGCACCAUCUCAUCUCAAACCUUAGUUCAUCUCAUGUAUCCAAUCUUUGUCCCAAAGCCUCAGAUUGGUACCUGUGGGUUGCUAGUAGUGUUGAUUACUCCUUGUAGUUGAUGCUAGUUGGUUUAUUUGGUGGAAGAUCAUAUGUUCAGAUCCUUUAUGCACAUUAAUACCCCUCUGAUUAUGAACAUGAAUAUGAUUUGUGAUUAGUUACGUUUGUUCCUGAGGACAAAGCUUGCUAUAAGUAGUCAUGUGAAUUUGGUAUUCGUUCGAUAUUUUGAUGAGAUAUAUGUUGUCUUUCCUCUAGUGGUGUUAUGUGAACGUCGACCACAUGACACUUCACCAUUGUUUGGGCCUAGAGGAAGGCAUUGGGAAGUAAUAAGUAGAUGAUGGGUUGCUAGAGUGACAGAAGCUUAAACCCUAGUUUAUGAGUUGCUUCGUAAGGGGCUGAUUUGGAUCCAUAGGUUUCAUGCUAUGGUUAGGUUUACCUUAAUACUUCUCUUGUAGUUGCGGAUGCUUGCAAUAGGGGUUAAUAAUAAGUGGGAUGCUUGUCCAAGAAAGGGCAGUACCCAAGCACCGGUCCACCCACAUACCAAAUUAUCAAAGUAACGAACGCGAAUCAUAUGAGCGUGAUGAAAACUAGCUUGACGAUAAUUCCCAUGUGUCCUCGGGAGCGCUUUUCUCUAUAUAAGAGUUUGUCCAGGCUUGUCCUUUGCUACAAAAAGGAUUGGGCCAUCUUGCUGCACCUUAUUUACUUUCAUUACUUGUUACUCGUUACAAAUUACCUUAUCACAAAACUAUCUGUUACCGAUAAUUUCAACACUUGCAGAGAAUACCUUACUGAAAACCGCUUGUCAUUUCCUUCUGCUCCUCGUUGGGUUCGACACUCUUACUUGUCGAAAGGACUAUAAUAGAUCCCCUAUACUUGUGGGUCAUCAGGUCUCCGCAUGACCACUAUCUCAACAAGUAGCUACAAGUUGCUCCUUGAGCUGUUUGCUAGAGGAAGAAGAAGGGAAAGGCUAGCUCUCUCCUCUCUCUAUGUGUGUGGUUGUGUAGUCUAAGGGUCUGAACCCUUUGCGUGGGUGCCCUGGGGGGUUUAUAUGGGCCUACCCCCAGGGGUACAAUGGUAAACUGGCCGGGUGUAGGCCCAUGCCGUUACUGUCUCUCGUGGCCGACUUCUCAACUGGCUGCUGGGGCCCGCCGACUGGGGGGCCCCGCCGGCUCUCUUGUACUUGGCCGACAGGCCGCGCCCGCCGCUUGCGGGUCUUGCUGGCUUCUCAUCACUGUAGCCGUGCUUCUAAUGAUGCUUGCUUUGUCGGGGGAGGCGUGGUGCUGGCCUCCCCCUUGGCCGACUGGCUGAGGCUAGCCGCCUUCCGGUUCCUCACGGGAAGGUAGGGCCCGUCGCCUGCAGGCCGUACCGACAGCCCGUCGUGGGCGCAUGGUCCCUUCUGACAGGGAUGAUGUCACGGGCGGAGGGGCCACAGUGACGCGCCGUGCAGGAGAUCUCCGGCUGGUACGGCGCACUGUGGCCACGACCCGCCCUGGAUUAGAGGGUGGCAGGCUUCGCUGUAGCCACGCCCCAUCCCAUGAUGCUUAAGAGGGUGCAGGUUUUGAGGGCACCUGGGGCCGCCUGCUAGGAGACGACCUCUCUGGAGGCCAUCAUCUAGGACGCGGCCCGCUUCGUGGUCGUUUUCUGGGGUCCGCCGCCUUCCGGCAGCCGGCCGCUUGGACUAGCCGGCUUCGAGAAGGUGGAGACCAAGCUUUGAGGUUUGAGGGGCGCAGUCGGCCCCGAUGUCUUGAAAUGCCAUGGGGGGGGGGUGAUGAGGCUACCCAUGGCCAAUAACUCCGACAAGAUAUAUAGAGAUAGAUCAAGACGCUUGAUAAGUUUUUUCAAUGAGUACAUACCUUGACAAGUUUUUGAUGUAGUUCAAAAUAGAACAGUCAAAGAAAGAGUUCUUUCCUGUGUUGCAAGGUGUGAAGUUGAGUAAGACUCAAAGCCCGACCACGACAGAAGAUAGAGAGAGAAUGAAAGUCAUUCCCUAUGCCUCAGCCAUAGAUUCUAUAAAGUAUGACAUGUUGUGUACCAGUCCUAUUGUAUACCCUGCCCUGAGUUUGGCAAGGGAGUACAAUUUUGAUCUAGGAGUAGAUCAUUGGACAGCGGUCAAAAUUAUCCUUAGAGGAGUAAGGAAAUAUUUCUCGGUUAGGUGAUAAAGAGUUCGUCGUAAAGAGUUACGUCGAUGCAAGCUUUGACACCGGAUACAUAUUGAAAGUGGGAGCAAUUAGCUAAAGUAGCUCCGUGGAGAGCAUUGUAGACAUAGAAAUUUGCAAAAUACAUACGGAUCUAAAUUUGGCAGACCCGUUGACUAAACUUCUCUCACAAACAAAACAUAAUCACACCUUAGUACUCUUUGGGUGUUAAUCACAUGGCGAUGUGAACUAGAUUACUGACUCUAGUAAACACUUUGAGUGUUGGUCACAUGGCGAUGUGAACUAUGGGUGUUAAUCACAUGGUGAUAUGAACUAUUGGUGUUAAAUCACAUAGCCACGUGAACUAGAUUAUUGACUGUAGUGCAAGUGGGAGACUGAAGGAAGUAUGCCCUAGAGGCAAUAAUAAAGUUAUUAUUUAUUUCAUGAUAAAUGUUUAUUAUUCAUGCUAGAAUUGUAUUAACUGGAAACUUAGUACAUGUGUGAAUACAUAGACAAACAGAGUGUCCCUAGUAUGCCUCUACUUGACUAGCUCGUUAAUCAAAGAUGGUUAAGUUUCCUAGCCAUAGACAUGUGUUGUCAUUUGAUGAACGGGAUCACAUCAUUAGAGAAUGAUGUGAUUGACUUGACCCAUUCCGUUAGCUUAGCAUUAUGAUCAUUUCAGUUUCAUUGCUACUGCUUUCUUCAUGACUUAUACAUGUUCCUCUGACUAUGAGAUUAUGCAACUCCCGAAUACCGGAGGAACACCUUGUGUGCUAUCAAACGUCACAAUGUAACUGGGUGAUUAUAAAGAUGCUCUACAGGUGUCUCCGAAGGUGUUUGUUGGGUUGGCAUAGAUCGAGAUUAGGAUUUGUCACUCCGCGUAUCGGAGAGGUAUCUCUGGGCCCUCUAGGUAAUGCACAUCACUAUAAGCCUUGCAAGCAAUGUGACUAAUGAGUUAGUUGCGGGAUGAUGCAUUAUGGAACGAGUAAAGAGACUUGCCGGUAACGAGAUUGAACUAGGUAUGAUGAUACUGAAGGAAAUAUUCCUUAGAGGCAAUAAUAAAGUUAUUAUUUAUUUCCUAAUAUCAUGAUAAAUGUUUAUUAUUCAUGCUAGAAUUGUAUUAACCGGAAACAUAAUACUUGUGUGAAUACAUAGACAAACAGAGUGUCACUAGUAUGCCUCUACUUGACUAGCUCGUUGAUCAAAGAUGGUUAUGUUUCCUAGCCAUUGACAUGAGUUGUCAUUUGAUUAACGGGAUCACAUCAUUAGAAGAAUGAUGUGAUUGACUUGACCCAUUCCGUUAGCUUAGCACUCGAUCGUUUAGUAUAUUGCUAUUGCUUUCUUCAUGACUUAUACAUGUUCCUAUGACUAUGAGAUUAUGCAACUCCCGUUUACCGGAGGAACACUUUGUGUGCUACCAAACGUCACAACGUAACUGGGUGAUUAUAAAGCUGCUCUACAGGUGUCUCCGAAGGUACUUGUUGGGUUGGCGUAUUUCGAGAUUAGGAUUUGUCACUCCGAUUGUCGGAGAGGUGUCUCUGGGCCCACUCGGUAAUGGACAUCACUUAAGCCUUGCAAGCAUUCCAACCAAUGAGUUAGUUGUGGGAUGAUGUAUUACGGAAUGAGUAAAGAGACUUGCUGGUAACGAGAUUGAACUACGUAUUGAGAUACCGACGAUCGAAUCUCGGGCAAGUAACAUACCGAUGACAAAGGGAACAACGUAUGUUGUUAUGCGGUUUGACCGAUAAAGAUCUUCAUAGAAUAUGUGGGAGCCAAUAUGAGCAUCCAGGUUCCGCUAUUCGUUAUUGACUGGAGACGUGUCUCGGUCAUGUCUACAUAGUUCUCGAACCCGUAGGGUCCGCACGCUUAAAGUUUCGAUGACGGUUAUAUUAUGAGUUUAUGAGUUUUGAUGUACCGAAGGUUGUUCGGAGUCCCGGAUGUGAUCACGGACAUGACGAGGAGUCUCAAAAUGGUCGAGACAUGAAGAUUGAUAUAUUGGAAGCCUAUAUUUGGAUAUCGAAAGUGUUCCGGGUGAAAUCGGGAUUUUACCGGAGUACCGGAGGGGUUACCAGAACCCCCCGGGGGUUUAAUGGGCCAUAGUGGGCCUUAGUGGAGAAGAGGAGGGGUGGCCAGGGCAGGCCGCGCCCCCCCUCCCCCUCUAGUCCGAAUUGGACAAGGAGGGGGGCGGCGCCCCCCUUUUUCCUUCUUCUCCUCGUCCUCCUUCCGCCCUUCUCCUAAUCUAACAAGGAAGGGAGGGAGUCCUACUCCCGAUGGGAGUAGGACUCCUCCUGGCGCGCCUUCUCCUGGCCGGCCGCAUCUCCCCCCCUUGCUCCUUUAUAUACGGGGGCACCCUAGAGACACAACAAUUGAUCAGUUGAUCUUUUAGCCGUGUGCGGUCCCCCCUCCACCAUAGUCCACCUCGAUAAUACUGUAGCGGUGCUGAGGCGAAGCCCUGUGUCGGUAGAACAUCAUCAUCGUCACCACCCCGUCGUGCUGACGAAACUCUCCCUCAACACUCGGCUGGAUCAGAGUUCGAGGGACGUCAUCGAGCUGAACGUGUGCUGAACUCGGAGGUGCCGUACGUUCGGUACUUGGAUCGGUCGGAUCGUGAAGACGUACGACUACAUCAACCGCGUUGUGCUAACGCUUCCGCUUUCGGUCUACGAGGGUACAUGGACAGCACUCUCCCCUCUCGUUGCUAUGCAUCACCAUGAUUUUGCGUGUGCGUAGGAAUUUUUUUGAAAUUACUACGUUCCCAUACAGUGGCAUCCGAGCCAGGUUUUAUGCGUAGAUGUCAUAUGCACGAGUAGAACACAAGUGAGUUGUGGGCGAUAUAAGUCAUACUGCUUACCAGCAUGUCAUACUUUGGUUCGGCGGUACUGUUGGAUGAAGCGGCCCGGACCGACAUUACGCGUACACUUACGCAAGACUGGUUCUACGUGUUGGGGAACGUAGUAAUUUCAAAAAAUUUCCUACGCACACGCAAGAUCAUGGUGAUGCAUAGCAACAAGAGGGGAGAGUGUUGUCCACGUACCCUCGUAGACCGACAGCGGAAGCGUUAUCACAACGCGGUUGAUGUAGUCGAACGUCUUCACGAUCCGACCGAUCAAGUACCGAACGCACGGCACCUCCGAAGUUCUACACACGUUCAGCUCGAUGACGUCCCUCGAACUCCGAUCCAGCCGAGUGUUGAGGGAGAGUUUCGUCAGCACGACGGCGUGGUGACGAUGAUGAUGUUCCACCGACGCAGGGCUUCACCUAAGCUUCGCGACGGUAUUAUCGAGGUGUAAUCUGGUGGAGGGGGGCACCGCACACGGCUAAAAUAUCGUAUAUCAAGUGUGUUCUUAGGUGCCCCCCUGCCGCCGUAUAUAAAGGAGCAAGGGGGAGGCCGGCUGCCUAUGGGGCGCGCCAAGGAGAGGGGGGGAGUCCUCCUCCUAGUAGGAGUAGGACUCCCCUUUCCAAGUCCUACUAGGAAAAGAAGGGGGAAGGAAAGAGAGGGAGAGGGAGAGGGAAAGGGGGCUGCGCCCCCCUCUCCUAGUCCAACUAGGACUCCUCUGGGAGGAGGCGCACCACCUCCUGGCUGCUGCCCUCUCUCUCCCCUCAAGGCCCACUAAGGCCCAAUACUUCCCCGGGGGGUUCCGGUAACCCUCCGGCACUCCGGUUUAAUCCGAAACUUCUCCGGAACACUUCCGGUGUCCGAAUAUAGUCGUCCCAUCAAUCUUUACGUCUCGACCAUUUCGAGACUCCUCGUCAUGUCCGUGAUCACAUCCGGGACUCCGAACAACCUUCGGUACAUCAAAUCAUAUAAACUCAUAAUAAAACUGUCAUCGUAACUUUAAGCGUGCGGACCCUUUGGGUUCGAGAACUAUGUAGACAUGACCGAGACACCUCUCCGGUCAAUAACCAAUAGCGGGACCUGGAUGCCCAUAUUGGCUCCUACAUAUUCUACGAAGAUCUUUAUCGGUCAGACCGCAUAACAACAUACAUUGUUCCCUUUGUCAUCGGUAUGUUACUUGCCCGAGAUUCGAUCGUCGGUAUCUCGAUACCUAGUUCAAUCUCGUUACCGGCAAGUCUCUUUACUCGUUCCGUAAUACAUCAUCCCGUAACUAACUCAUUAGUCACAAUGCUUGCAAGGCUUAUAGUGAUGUGCAUUACCGAGUGGGCCCUGAGAUACCUCUCCGACAAUCGGAGUGACAAAUCCUAAUCUCGAAAUACGCCAACCCAACAAGUACCUUUGGAGACACCUGUAGAGCACCUUUAUAAUCACCCAGUUACGUUGUGACGUUUGGUAGCACACAAAGUGUUCCUCCGGUAAACGGGAGUUGCAUAAUCUCAUAGUCAUAGGAACAUGUAUAAGUCAUGAAGAAAGCAAUAGCAACAUACUAAACGAUCGGGUGCUAAGCUAAUGUAAUGGGUCAUGUCAAUCACGUCAUUCUCCUAAUGAGGUGAUCCCGUUAAUCAAAUGACAACUCAUGUCUAUGGCUAGGAAACAUAACCAUCUUUGAUUAACGAACUAGUCAAGUAGAGGCAUACUAGGGACACUUUGUUUGUCUAUGUAUUCACACAUGUAUUAUGUUUCCGGUUAAUACAAUUCUAGCAUGAAUAAUAAACAUUUAUCAUGAUAUAAGGAAAUAUAAAAUACUUUAUUAUUUCCUCUAGGGCAUAUUUCCUUCAGUCUCCCACUUGCACUAGAGUCAAUAAUCUAGAUUACAUAGUAAUGAUUCUUACACCCAUGGAGUCUUGGUGCUGAUCAUGUUUUGCUCGUGGAAGAGGCUUAGUCAACGGAUCUACUACAUUCAGAUCCGUAUGUAUCUUGCAAAUUUCUAUGUCUCCCACCUGGACUAAAUCCCGGAUGGAAUUGAAGCGUCUUCUGAUGUGCUUGGUUCUCUUGUGAAAUCUGGAUUCCUUUGCUAAGGCAAUUGCACCAGUAUUAUCACAAAAGAUUUUCAUUGGUCCCGAUGUACUAGGUAUGACACCUAGAUCGGUUAUGAACUCCUUCAUCCAGACUCUUUCAUUCGCUGCUUCCGAAGCAGCUAUGUAUUCCGCUUCACACGUAGAUCCCGCCACGACACUUUGCUUGGAACUGCACCAACUGACAGCUCCACCGUUCAAUGUAAAUACGUAUCCGGUUUGCGAUUUCGAAUCGUCCGGAUCAGUGUCAAAGCUUGCAUCAACGUAACCAUUUAUGAUGAGCUCUUUGUCACCUCCAUAUACGAGAAACAUAUCCUUAGUCCUUUUCAGGUAUUUCAGGAUGUUCUUGACCGCUGUCCAGUGAUCCACUCCUGGAUUACUUUGGUACCUCCCUGCUAAACUUAUAGCCAGGGACACAUCAGGUCUGGUACACAGCAUUGCAUACAUGAUAGAGCCUAUGGCUGAAGCAUAGGGAACAUCUUUCAUCUUCUCUCUAUCUUCUGCAGUGGUCGGGCAUUGAGUCUUACUCAAUCUCACACCUUGUAGUACAGGCAAGAACCCUUUCUUUGCUUGAUCCAUUUUGAACUUCUUCAAAACUUUGUCAAGGUAUGUGCUUUGUGAAAGUCCAAUUAAGCGCCUUGAUCUAUCUCUAUAGAUCUUAAUGCCUAAUAUAUAUGCAGCUUCACCGAGGUCUUUCAUUGAAAAACUCUUAUUUAAGUAUCCCUUUAUGCUAUCCAGAAAUUCAAUAUCAUUUCCAAUCAGUAAUAUGUCAUCCACAUAUAAUAUCAGAAAUGCUAUCGAGCUCCCACUCACUUUCUUGUAAAUACAGGCUUCUCCAAAAGUCUGUAUAAAACCAAAUGCUUUGAUCACACUAUCAAAGCGUUUAUUCCAACUCCGAGAGGCUUGCACCAGUCCAUAAAUGGAUCGCUGGAGCUUGCACACUUUGUUAGCUCCCUUUGGAUCGACAAAACCUUCCGGUUGUAUCAUAUACAACUCUUCUUCCAGAAAUCCAUUCAGGAACGCAGUUUUGACAUCCAUUUGCCAAAUUUCAUAAUCAUAAAAUGCGGCAAUUGCUAACAUGAUUCGGACAGACUUAAGCAUCGCUACGGGUGAGAAGGUCUCAUCGUAGUCAAUUCCUUGAACUUGUCGAAAACCUUUCGCAACAAGUCGAGCUUUAUAGAUAGUAACAUUACCAUCAGCGUCAGUCUUCUUCUUGAAGAUCCAUUUAUUUUCAAUGGCUUGCCGACCAUCGGGCAAGUCAACCAAAGUCCAUACUUUGUUCUCAUACAUGGAUCCCAUCUCGGAUUUCAUGGCUUCAAGCCAUUUUUCGGAAUCUGGGCUCACCAUUGCUUCUUCAUAGUUCGUAGGUUCGCCAUGGUCUAGUAACAUGACCUUCAGAACAGGAUUACCGUACCACUCUGGUGCGGAUCUUGAUCUAGUUGACCUACGAAGUUCAGUAAUAACUUGAUCUGAAGUUUCAUGAUCAUUAUCAUUAACUUCCUCACUACUUGGUGUAGGUGUCGCAGAAACUGAUCUCUGCGAUGAUCUACUUUCCAAUAAGGGAGCAGGUAUAGUUACCUCAUCAAGUUCUACUUUCCUCCCACUCACAUCUUUCGAGAGAAACUCCUUCUCCAGAAAGGAUCCAUUUCUAGCAACAAAUAUCUUGCCUUCGGAUCUGUGAUAGAAGGUGUACCCAACGGUCUCCUUUGGGUAUCCUAUGAAGACACAUUUCUCCGAUUUAGGCUCGAGCUUAUCAGGUUGAAGUUUCUUCACAUAAGCAUCGCAACCCCAAACUUUAAGAUACGACAACUUUGGUUUCUUGCCAAACCAUAGUUCAAAAGGCGUCGUCUCAACGGAUUUCGAUGGUGUCCUAUUUAGAGUGAAUGCAGCCGUCUCUAAAGCAUAACCCCAAAACGAUAGCGGUAAAUCAGUAAGAGACAUCAUAGAUCGCACCAUAUCUAGUAAAGUGCGAUUACGACGUUCAGACACACCAUUACGCUGUGGUGUUCCGGGUGGCGUGAGUUGCGAAACUAUUCCGCAUUGUUUUAAAUGUAGACCAAACUCGUAACUCAAAUAUUCUCCUCCACGAUCAGAUCGUAGGAAUUUUAUUUUCUUGUUACGAUGAUUUUCAACUUCACUUUGAAAUUCUUUGAACUUUUCAAAUGUUUCAGACUUAUGUUUCAUUAAGUAGAUAUACCCAUAUCUGCUCAAAUCAUCUGUGAAGGUGAGAAAAUAACGAUAUCCGCCACGAGCUUCAAUAUUCAUCGGGCCACAUACAUCUGUAUGUAUGAUUUCCAACAAAUCUUUUGCUCUCUCCAUAGUUCCGGAGAACGGUGUUUUUGUCAUCUUGCCCAUAAGGCACAGUUCGCAAGUACCAAGUGAUUCAAAAUCAAGUGAUUCCAAAAUUCCAUCAGUAUGGAGUUUCUUCAUGCGCUUUACACCGAUAUGACCCAAACGGCAGUGCCACAAAUAAGUUGCACUGUCAUUAUUAACUCUGCAUCUUUUGGCUUCAGGAUUAUGAAUAUGUGUAUCACUACUAUCGAGAUUCAUUAAAAAUAGACCACUCUUCAAGGGUGCAUGACCAUAAAAGAUAUUAUUCAUAUAAAUAGAACAACCAUUAUUCUCUGAUUUAAAUGAAUAACCGUCUCGCAUUAAACAAGAUCCAGAUAUAAUGUUCAUGCUCAACGCUGGCACCAAAUAACAAUUAUUUAGGUCUAAAACUAAUCCCGAAGGUAGAUGUAGAGGUAGCGUGCCGACGGCGAUCACAUCGACUUUGGAACCAUUUCCCACGCGCAUCGUCACCUCGUCCUUAGCUAAACUUCGCUUAAUCCGUAGCCCCUAUUUUGAGUUGAAAAUAUUAGCAACAGAACCAGUAUCAAAUACCCAGGUGCUACUGCGAGUAUUAGUAAGGUACACAUCAAUAACAUGUAUAUCACAUAUACCUUUGUUAACCUUGCCAUCCUUCUUAUCCGCCAAAUACUUGGGGCAGUUCCGCUUCCAGUGGCUAGUCUGCUUACAGUAGAAGCACUCAGUUUCAGGCUUAGGUCCAGACUUGGAUUUCUUCUCCUGAACAGCAACUUGCUUGCUAUUCUUCUUGAAGUUCCCUUUCUUCUUCCCUUUGCCCUUUUUCUUGAAACUAGUGGUUUUACUGACCAUCAACACUUGAUGCUCCUUUUUGAUUUCCACCUCCGCUGCCUUUAGCAUUGCGAAGAGCUCGGGAAUCGUCUUAUUCAUCCCUUGCAUGUUAUAGUUCAUCACGAAGCUCUUGUAGCUUGGUGGCAGUGAUUGAAGAAUUCUGUCAAUGACGCAAUCAUCCAGAAGUUGAACUCCCAGUUGAAUUAAGUGAUUAUUAUACCCAGACAUUCUGAGUAUAUGCUCACUGACAGAACUAUUCUCUUCCAUCUUGCAGCUAUAGAACUUAUUGGAGACUUCAUAUCUCUCAAUCCGGGCAUUUGCUUGAAAUAUUAACUUCAACUCCUGGAACAUCUCAUAUGCUCCAUGACGUUCAAAACGUCGUUGAAGUCCCGGUUCUAAGCCGUAAAGCAUGGCACACUGAACUAUUGAGUAGUCAUCAGCUUUGCUUUCCCAGACGUUCAUAACUUCUGGCGUAGCUCUUGCAGGAGGCCUAGCACCUAGCGGUGCUUCCAGGACGUAAUUCUUCUGUGCAGCAAUGAGGAUAAUCCUCAAGUUACGGACCCAGUCCGUGUAAUUGCUACCAUCAUCUUUCAACUUAGCUUUCUCAAGGAACGCAUUAAAAUUCAACGGCACAACAGCACGGGCCAUAUAUCUACAAUUAACAUAGACAAGCAAGAUACUAUCAGGUACUAAGUUCAUGAUAAAUUUAAGUUCAAUUAAUCAUAUUACUUAAGAACUCCCACUUAGAUAGACAUCUCUCUAAUCAUCUAAGUGAUUACGUGAUCCAAAGCAACUAAACCAUGUCCGAUUAACACGUGAGAUGGAGUAGUUUCAAUGGUGAACAUCACUAUGUUGAUCAUAUCUACUAUAUGAUUCACGCUCGACCUUUCGGUCUCUGUGUUCCGAGGCCAUAUCUGUACAUAUGCUAGGCUCGUCAAGUUUAACCUGAGUACUCCGCGUGUGCAACUGUUUUGCACCCGUUGUAUUUGAACGUAGAGCCUAUCACACCCGAUUAACACGUGGUGUCUCAGCACGAAGAACUUUUGCAACGGUGCAUACUCAGGGAGAACACUUUUAUCUUGAAAUUUUAGUGAGAGAUCAUCUUAUAAUGCUACCGUCAAACAAAGCAAGAUAAGAUGCAUAAAGGAUUAACAUCACAUGCAAUCAAUAUAAGUGAUAUGAUAUGGCCAUCAUCAUCUUGUGCUUGUGAUCUCCAUCUCCAAAGCACCGUGCUUGUGAUCUCCAUCUCCGAAGCACCAUCAUGAUCACCAUCGUCACCGGCUCGACACCUUGAUCUCCAUCGUAGUAUCGUUGUCGUCUCGCCAACUUAUUGCUUUUACAACUAUCGCUACCGUUUAGUGAUAAAGUAAAACUAUUACAUGGCGAUUGCAUCUCAUACAAUAAAGCGACAACCAUAUGGCUCCUGCCAGUUGCCGAUAACUCGGUUACAAAACAUGAUCAUCUCAUACAACACAUUAUAUCACAUCAUGUCUUGACCAUAUCACAUCACAACAUGCCCUGCAAAAACAAGUUAGACGAUCUCUACUUUGUUGUUGCAUAUUUUACGUGGCUGCUACGGGCUUAGCAAGAACCGUUCUUACCUACGCAUCAAAACCACAACGAUAGUUUGUCAAGUUGGUGCUGUUUUAACCUUCGCAAGGACCGGGCGUAGCCACACUCGGUUCAACUAAAGUGAGAGAGACAGACACCCGCCAGUCACCUUUAAGCAACGAGUGCUCCGAACGGUGAAACCAGUCUCGCGUAAGCGUACGCGUAAUGUCGGUCCGGGCCGCUUCAUCUCACAAUACCGCUGAACCAAAGUAUGACAUGCUGGUAAGCAGUAUGACUUAUAUCGCCCACAACUCACUUGUGUUCUACUCGUGCAUAGCAUCAACGCAUAAAACCAGGCUCGGAUGCCACUGUUGGGGAACGUAGUAAUUUCAAAAAAUUUCCUACGCACACGCAAGAUCAUGGUGAUGCAUAGCAACGAGAGGGGAGAGUGUUGUCCACGUACCCACGUAGACUGACAGCGGAAGCGUUAUCACAACGCGGUUGAUGUAGUCGAACGUCUUCACGAUCCGACCGAUCAAGUACCGAACGCACGGCACCUCCGAAGUUCUACACACGUUCAGCUCGAUGACGUCCCUCGAACUCCGAUCCAGCCGAGUGUUGAGGGAGAGUUUCGUCAGCACGACGGCGUGGUGACGAUGAUGAUGUUCCACCGACGCAGGGCUUCACCUAAGCUUCGCGACGGUAUUAUCGAGGUGUAAUCUGGUGGAGGGGGGCACCGCACACGGCUAAAAUAUCGUAUAUCAAGUGUGUUCUUAGGUGCCCCCUGCCCCCGUAUAUAAAGGAGCAAGGGGGAGGCCGGCUGCCUAUGGGGCGCGCCAAGGAGAGGGGGGGAGUCCUCCUCCUAGUAGGAGUAGGACUCCCCUUUCCUAGUCCUACUAGGAAAAGAAGGGGGGAAGGAAAGAGAGGAGAGGGAAAGGGAAAGGGGGCUGCGCCCCCUCUCCUAGUCCAACUAGGACUCCUCUGGGAGGGGGCGCACCACCUCCUGGCUGCUGCCCUCUCUCUCCCCUCAAGGCCCACUAAGGCCCAAUACUUCCCCGGGGGGUUCCGGUAACCCUCCGGCCCUCCGGUUUAAUCCGAAACUUCUCCGGAACACUUCCGGUGUCCGAAUAUAGUCGUUCAAUAUAUCAAUCUUUACGUCUCGACCAUUUCGAGACUCCUCGUCAUGUCCAUGAUCACAUCCGGGACUCCGAACAACCUUCGGUACAUCAAAUCAUAUAAACUCAUAAUAAAACUGUCAUCGUAACUUUAAGCGUGCGGACCCUUUGGGUUCGAGAACUAUGUAGACAUGACCGAGACACCUCUCCGGUCAAUAACCAAUAGCGGGACCUGGAUGCCCAUAUUGGCUCCUACAUAUUCUACGAAGAUCUUUAUCGGUCAGACCGCAUAACAACAUACGUUGUUCCCUUUGUCAUCGGUAUGUUACUUGCCCGAGAUUCGAUCGUCGGUAUCUCGAUACCUAGUUCAAUCUCGUUACCGGCAAGUCUCUUUACUCGUUCCGUAAUACAUCAUCCCGUAACUAACUCAUUAGUCACAAUGCUUGCAAGGCUUAUAGUGAUGUGCAUUACCGAGUGGGCCCUGAGAUACCUCUCCGACAAUCGGAGUGACAAAUCCUAAUCUCGAAAUACGCCAACCCAACAAGUACCUUUGGAGACACCUGUAGAGCACCUUUAUAAUCACCCAGUUACGUUGUGACGUUUGGUAGCACACAAAGUGUUCCCCCGGUAAACGGGAGUUGCAUAAUCUCAUAGUCAUAGGAACAUGUAUAAGUCAUGAAGAAAGCAAUAGCAACAUACUAAAUGAUCGGGUGCUAAGCUAAUGUAAUGGGUCAUGUCAAUCACGUCAUUCUCCUAAUGAGGUGAUCCCGUUAAUCAAAUGACAACUCAUGUCUAUGGCUAGGAAACAUAACCAUCUUUGAUUAACGAACUAGUCAAGUAGAGGCAUACUAGUGAGACUUUGUUUGUCUAUGUAUUCACACAUGUAUUAUGUUUCCGGUUAAUACAAUUCUAGCAUGAAUAAUAAACAUUUAUCAUGAUAUAAGGAAAUAUAAAAUACUUUAUUAUUGCCUCUAGGGCAUAUUUCCUUCACUACGGACGUGCUUUGCACACAGGUGGCUGGCGGGUGUCAGUUUCUCCAAAUUUAGUUGAACCGAGUGUGGCUAUGCCCGGUCCUUGCGAAGGUUAAAACAGCACCAACUUGACAAACUAUCGUUGUGGUUUUGAUGCGUAGGUAAGAACGGUUCUUGCUCAGCCCGUAGCAGCCACAUAAAACUUGCAACAACAAAGUAGAGGACGUCUAACUUGUUUUUGCAGGGCAUGUUGUGAUGUGAUAUGGUCAAGGCAUGAUGCUAUAUUUUAUUGUAUGAGAUGAUCAUGUUUUGUAACCGAGUUAUCGGCAACUGGCAGGAGCCAUAUGGUUGUUGCUUUAUUGUAUGCAAUGCAAUCGCCCUGUAAUGCUUUACUUUAUCACUAAGCGGUAGCGAUAGUCGUAGAAGCAUAAGAUUGGCGAGACGACAACGAUGCUACGAUGGAGAUCAAGGUGUCACGCCGGUGACGAUGGUGAUCAUGACGGUGCUUCGGAGAUGGAGAUCACAAGCACAAGAUGAUGGCCAUAUCAUAUCACUUAUAUUGAUUGCAUGUGAUGUUUAUCUUUUAUGCAUCUUAUCUUGCUUUGAUUGAUGGUAGCAUUAUAAGAUGAUCUCUCACUAAAUUUCAAGAUAAAAGUGUUCUCCCUGAGUAUGCACCGUUGCCAAAGUUCGUCGUGCCCAAACACCACGUGAUGAUCGGGUGUGAUAAGCUCUACGUCCAUCUACAACGGGUGUAAGCCAGUUUUGCACACGCAGAAUACUCAGGUUAAACUUGAUGAGCCUAGCAUAUGCAGAUAUGGCCUCGGAACACUGAGACCGAAAGGUCGAGCGUGAAUCAUAUAGUAGAUAUGAUCAACAUAGAGAUGUUCACCAUUGAAAGCUACUCCAUUUCACGUGAUGAUCGCUUAUGGUUUAGUUGAUAUGGAUCACGUGAUCACUUAGAGGAUUAGAGGGAUGUCUAUCUAAGUGGGAGUCCUUAAGUAAUAUGAUUAAUUGAACUUAAAUUUAUCAUGAACUUAGUACCCGAUAGUAUCUUGCUUGUCUAUGUUGAUUGUAGAUAGAUGACCCGUGCUGUUGUUCCGUUGAAUUUUAAUGCGUUCCUUGAGAAAGCAAAGUUGAAAGAUGAUGGUAGCAAUUACACGAACUGGGUCCGUAACUUGAGGAUUAUCAUCAUUGCUGCACAGAAGAAUUACGUCCUGGAAGCACUGCUAGGUGCCAAACCUGCUGCAGGAGCAACACCAGAUGUUAUGAACGUUUGGCAGAGCAAAGCUGAUGACUACUCGAUAGUUCAGUGUGCCAUGCUUUACGGCUUAGAACCGGGACUUCAACGACAUUUUGAAUGUCAUGGAGCAUAUGAGAUGUUCCAGGAGUUGAAGUUAAUAUUUCAAGCAAAUGCCCGGAUUGAGAGAUAUGAAGUCUCCAAUAAGUUCUACAGUUGCAAGAUGGAGGAGAAUAGUUCUGUCAGUGAGCAUAUACUCAGAAUGUCUGGGUAUAACAACCACUUGAUUCAACUGGGAGUUAAUCUUCCGGAUGAUAGCGUCAUUGACAGAAUUCUUCAAUCACUGCCACCAAGCUACAAGAGCUUCGUGAUGAACUAUAACAUGCAAGGGAUGGAUAAGACGAUUCCCGAGUUCUUCGCAAUGCUAAAAGCUGUGGAGGUAGAAAUCAAGAAGGAGCGUCAAGUGUUGAUGGUUAAUAAGACCACCAGUUUCAAGAAAAAGGGCAAAGGGAAGAAGAAGGGGAACUUCAAGAAGAACAGCAAACAAGUUGCUGCUCAAGAGAAGAACCCCAAGUCUGGACCUAAGCCUGAGACUGAGUGCUUCUACUGCAAGCAGACUGGUCACUGGAAGCGGAACUGCCCCAAGUAUUUGGCGGAUAAGAAGGAUGGCAAGGUGAACAAAGGUAUAUGUGAUAUACAUGUUAUUGAUGUGUACCUUACCAGAGCUCGCAGUAGCACCUGGGUAUUUGAUACUGGUUCUGUUGCUAAUAUUUGCAACUCAAAACAUGGACUACAGAUUAAGCGAACACUGGCCGACGAGGUGACGAUGCGCGUGGGAAACGGUUCCAAAGUCGAUGUGAUCACCGUCGGCACGCUACCUCUACAUCUACCUUCGGGAUUAGUAUUAGACCUAAAUAAUUGUUAUUUGGUGCCAGUGUUGAGCAUGAACAUUAUAUCUGGAUCUUUUUUGAUGCGAUACGGUUAUUCAUUUAAAUCAGAGAAUAAUGGUUGUUCUAUUUAUAUGAGUAAUAUCUUUUAUGGUCAUGCACCCUUGAAGAGUGGUCUAUUUUUGAUGAAUCUCGAUAGUAGUGAUACACAUAUUCAUAAUGUUGAAGCCAAAAGAUGCAGAGUUGAUAAUGAUAGUGCAACUAAAUUGUGGCACUGCCGUUUGGGUCAUAUUGGUGUAAAGCGCAUGAAGAAACUCCAUACUGAUGGACUUUUGGAAUCACUUGAUUAUGAAUCACUUGGUACUUGCGAACCAUGCCUCAUGGGCAAGAUGACUAAAAUGCCGUUCUCCGGAACUAUGGAGCGAGCAACUGAUUUGUUGGAGAUCAUACAUACUGAUGUAUGUGGUCCAAUGAAUGUUGAGGCUCGUGGCGGGUAUCGUUAUUUUCUCACCUUCAUAGAUGAUUUAAGCAUAUAUGGGUAUAUCUACUUAAUGAAACAUAAGUCUGAAACAUUUGAAAAGUUCAAAGAAUUUCAGAGUGAAGUUGAAAAUCAUCGUAACAAGAAAAUAAAGUUUCUACGAUCUGAUCGUGGAGGAGAAUAUUUGAGUUACGAGUUUGGUCUACAUUUGAAACAAUGCGGAAUAGUUUCGCAACUCACGCCACCCGGAACACCACAGCGCAAUGGUGUGUCCGAACGUCGUAACAUACUUUACUAGAUAUGGUGCGAUCUAUGAUGUCUCUUACUGAUUUACCGCUAUUGUUUUGGGGUUGUGCUUUGGAGACGGCCGCAUUCACGUUAAAUAGGGCACCAUCAAAAUCCGUUGAGACGAUGCCUUAUGAACUAUGGUUUGGCAAGAAACCAAAGUUGUCGUUUCUUAAAGUUUGUGGCUGCGAUGCUUAUGUGAAAAAGUUUCAACCUGAUAAGCUCGAACCCAAAUCAGAGAAAUGUGUCUUCAUAGGAUACCCAAAGGAAACUGUUGGGUACACCUUUUAUCAUAGAUCCGAAGGCAAGACAUUCGUUGCCAACAAUGGAUCCUUUCUAGAGAAGGAGUUUCUCUCGAAAGAAGUGAGUGGGAGGAAAGUAGAACUUGAUGAGGUAACAGUACCUGCUCCCUUAUUGGAAAGUAGUUCAUCACAGAAAUCGGUUCCUGUGACGUCUACACCAAUUAGUGAGGAAGUUAAUGAUGAUGAUCAUGAAACUUCAGAUCAAGUUGUUGCUGAACCUCGUAGGUCAACCAGAGUAAGAUCCGCACCAGAGUGGUACGGUAAUCCUAUUCUGGAGGUUAUGUUACUAGACCAUGACGAACCUACGAACUAUGAAGAAGCGAUGGUGAGCCCAGAUUCCGCAAAAUGGCUUGAGGCCAUGAAAUCUGAGAUGGGAUCCAUGUAUGAGAACAAAGUAUGGAGUUUGGUUGACUUGCCCGAUGAUCGGCAAGCCAUAGAGAAUAAAUGGAUCUUCAAGAAGAAGACUGACGCUGACGGUAAUGUUACUGUCUAUAAAGCUCGACCUGUUGCAAAAGGUUUUCAACAAGUUCAAGGGAUUCACUACGAUGAGACCUUCUCACCCAUAGCGAUGCUUAAGUCUGUCCGAAUCAUGUUAGCAAUUGCCGCAUUUUAUGAUUAUGAAAUUUGGCAAAUGGAUGUAAAAACUGCAUUACUGAAUGGAUUUCUGGAAGAAGAGUUGUAUAUGAUGCAACCAGAAGGUUUUGUCGAUCCAAAGGGAGCUAACAAAGUGUGCAAGCUCCAGCGAUCCAUUUAUGGACUGGUGCAAGCUUCUCGGAGUUGGAAUAAACGCUUUGAUAGUGUGAUCAAAGCAUUUGGUUUUAUACAGAAUUUUGGAGAAGCCUGUAUUUACAAGAAAGUGAGUGGGAGCUCAGUAGCAUUUCUGAUAUUAUAUGUGGAUGACAUAUUACUGAUUGGAAAUGAUAUAGAAUUUCUGGAUAGCAUAAAAGGAUACUUGAAUAAAAGUUUUUCAAUGAAAGAUCUCGUUGAAGCUGCUUACAUAUUAGGCAUAAAGAUCUAUAGAGAUAGAUCAAGACGCUUGAUAGGACUUUCACAAAGCACAUACCUUGACAAAGUUUUGAAAAAGUUCAAAAUGGAUCAAGCAAAGAAAGGGUUCUUGCCUGUAUUACAAGGUGUGAAGUUGAGUCAGACUCAAUGCCCGACCACUGCAGAAGAUAGAGAGAAAAUGAAAGAUGUUCCCUAUGCUUCAGCCAUAGGCUCUAUCAUGUAUGCAAUGCUGUGUACCAGACCUGAUGUGUGCCUUGCUAUUAGCCUAGCAGGGAGGUACCAAAGUAAUCCAGGGUGGAUCACUGGACAGCGGUCAAGAACAUCCUGAAAUACCUGAAAAGGACUAAGGAUAUGUUUCUCGUUUAUGGAGGUGACAAAGAGCUAGUCGUAAAUGGUUACGUCAAUGCAAGCUUUGACACUGAUCCGGACGAUUCUAAAUCGCAAACCGGAUACGUGUUUACAUUGAACGGUGGAGCUGUCAGUUGGUGCAGUUCUAAAAAAGCGUUGUGGCAGGAUCUACGUGUGAAGCGGAGUACAUAGCUGCUUCGGAAGCAGCAAAUGAAGGAGUCUGGAUGAAGGAGUUCAUAUCCGAUCUAGGUGUCAUACCUAGUGCAUCGGGUCCAAUGAAAAUCUUUUGUGACAAUACUGGUGCAAUUGCCUUGGCGAAGGAAUCCAGAUUUCACAAGAGAACCAAGCACAUCAAGAGACGCUUCAAUUCCAUCCGGGAUUUAGUGCAGGUGGGAGACAUAGAAAUUUGCAAGAUACAUACGGAUCUGAAUGUUGCAGACCCAUUAACUAAGCCUCUUCCACGAGCAAAACAUGAUCAGCACCAAGGCUCCAUGGGUGUUAGAAUCAUUACUGUGUAAUCUAGAUUAUUGACUCUAGUGCAAGUGGGAGACUGAAGGAAAUAUGCCCUAGAGGCAAUAAUAAAGUUAUUAUUUAUUUCCUUAUAUCAUGAUAAAUUUUUAUUAUUCAUGCUAGAAUUGUAUUAACCGGAAACAUAAUACUUGUGUGAAUACAUAGACAAACAGAGUGUCACUAGUAUGCCUCUACUUGACUAGCUCGUUGAUCAAAGAUGGUUAUGUUUCCUAGCCAUUGACAUGAGUUGUCAUUUGAUUAACGGGAUCACAUCAUUAGAAGAAUGAUGUGAUUGACUUGACCCAUUCCGUUAGCUUAGCACUCGAUCGUUUAGUAUAUUGCUAUUGCUUUCUUCAUGACUUAUACAUGUUCCUAUGACUAUGAGAUUAUGCAACUCCCGUUUACCGGAGGAACACUUUGUGUGCUACCAAACGUCACAACGUAACUGGGUGAUUAUAAAGGUGCUCUACAGGUGUCUCCGAAGGUACUUGUUGGGUUGGCGUAUUUCGAGAUUAGGAUUUGUCACUCCGAUUGUCGGAGAGGUAUCUCUAGGCCCACUCGGUAAUGGACAUCACUUAAGCCUUGCAAGCAGUGCAACCAAUGAGUUAGUUGCGGGAUGAUGUAUUACGGAACGAGUAAAGAGACUUGCCGGUAACGAGAUUGAACUAGGUAUUGAGAUACCGACGAUCGAAUCUCGGGCAAGUAACAUACCGAUGACAAAGGGAACAACGUAUGUUGUUAUGCGGUUUGACCGAUAAAGAUCUUCGUAGAAUAUGUGGGAGCCAAUAUGAGCAUCCAGGUUCCGCUAUUCGUUAUUGACCGGAGACGUGUCUCGGUCAUGUCUACAUAGUUCUCGAACCCGUAGGGUCCGCAUGCUUAAAGUUUUGAUGACGGUUAUAUUAUGAGUUUAUGAGUUUUGAUGUACCAAAGGUUGUUUGGAGUCCCGGAUGUGAUCACGGACAUGACGAGGAGUCUCCAAAUGGUCGAGACAUGAAGAUUGAUAUAUUGGAAGCCUAUAUUUGGAUAUCGGAAGUGUUCCGGGUGAAAUCGGGAUUUUACCGGAGUACCGGAGGGGUUACCGGAACCCCCCGGGGGUUUAAUGGGCCAUAGUGGGCCUUAGUGGAGAAGAGGAGGGCAGCCAGGGCAGGCCGCGCCCCCCUCCCCCUCUAGUCCGAAUUGGACAAGGAGGGGGGGCGGCGCCCCCCUUUUUCCUUCUUCUCCUCUUCCUCCUUCCCCCCUUCUCCUAAUCCAACAAGGAAGAGAGGGAGCCCUACUCCAGGUGGGAGUAGGACUCCUCCUGGAGCGCCUCCUCCUGGCCGGCCGCACCUCCCCCCUUGCUCCUUUAUAUACGGGGGCAGGGGGCACCCUAGAGGCACAACAAUUGAUCAGUUGAUCUUUUAGCCGUGUGCGGUGCCCCCCUCCACCAUAGUCCACCUCGAUAAUACUGUAGCGGUGCUUAGGCGAAGCCCUGCAUCGGUAGAACAUCAUCAUCAUCGUCACCACGCCGUCAUGCUGACGAAACUCUCCCUCAACACUCGGCUGGAUCGGAGUUCGAGGGACGUCAUCGAGCUGAACGUGUGCUGAACUCGGAGAUGUCGUAUGUUCGGUACUUGGAUCGGUCGGAUCGUGAAGACGUACGACUACAUCAACCGCGUUGUGCUAACGCUUCCGCUUUCGGACUACGAGGGUACGUGGACAACACUCUCCCCUCUCGUUGCUAUGCAUCACCAUGAUCUUGCGUGUGCGUAGGAAUUUUUUUGAAAUUACUACGUUCCCCUACAGAUACCGAUGAUCGAAUCUCGGGCAAGUAACAUACCGAUGACAAAGGGAACAACAUAUGUUGUUAUGCGGUUUGACCGACCUUCGUAGAAUAUGUAGGAGCCAAUAUGAGCAUCCAGGUUCCGAUAUUGGUUAUUGACCGAAGAUGUGUCUCGGUCAUGUGUACAUAGUUCUCGAACCCGUAGGGUCCGCACGCUUAAUGUUCGAUGACGAUUUGUAUUAUGAGUUAUGUGAUUUGAUGUACCGAAGGUUGUUCGGAGUCCCGGAUGAGAUCACGAGGAGUCUCGAAAUGGUCGAUAUGUAAAGAUCGAUAUAUUGGAAGGCUAUAUUCGGACAUCGGAAAGGUUCCGAGUGAUUCAGGUAUUUUUCGGAGUACCGGAGAGUUACGGGAAUUCGCCGGGAGAAAUAACGGGCCUUAUUGGGCUUUAGUGGAGAGAGGGGAGAAGGGCCAAGAGGUGGCGCGUGCCUCCCCCCUACCCAAACCGAAUUGGACAAGGGGUGGGGGUGCGGCCCCCCUUUCCUUCUCCCUCUCCCUCUUUUUCCUUCUCUCCUACUCCGAAUAGGAGAGAGGAGGGGAAUCCUACUUGGACUGGGGAGUCCUAGUAGGAUUCCCCACACCUGGCGCGCCCCCCUUGGGCCGGCCACCUCUUCCCUCCCCUCCUUUAUAUACGUGGCCAGGGGGCACCCCAAAGGCACUCAAGAUUUGUCUUAGCCGUGUGCGGUGCCCCCCUCCACAGUUACAUACCUCGGUCAUAUCGUCGUAGUGCUUAGGCAAAGCCCUACGCCGGUAACUUCAUCAUCACCGUCGCCACGCCGUCGUGCUGACGGAACUCUCCCUCGGCCUCAACUGGAUCAAGAGUGCGAGGGACGUCAUCGAGCUGAACGUGUGCUGAACACGGAGGUGUCGUACGUUCGGUGAUAGGAUCGGUCGGAUCGUGAAGACGUACGACUACAUCAACCGCGUUGAUAUAACGCUUCCGCUUUCGGUCUACAAGGGUACGUGGACACACUCUCCCGCUCGUUGCUAUGCAUCACCCAGAUAGAUCUUGCGUGAUCGUAGGAAUUUUUUUGAAAUUACUGCGUUCCCCAACAGAGUGAUUGGUGAGGGAGCUUUCCGUAAGACCAAUCUCGUGGAGAAUUUUUCGUGAGUGUACUACUCCCUUCUUCCUGUUAUGCAGGGUGUGUAAGUUUUUGGCAUGAAAAUUAGUGCAAGACCAGUGGCAAUUACUAAUAAGCCAUGGUUAUAGAAAGUUUCCUCAAUGAUAUCUUUUAACAAAUAUGGUUGGUUGAUCCACAAUUAGUAAUGGUUAGCUUACAAUGCCCGUACAAGAGAGAAUAUCAAGGGUUGAGUGCUAACCGGCGUUAGAUUUGGGAAUUUUCUGAAAAGCUUAUACGGCUAAGAUUUUGGGGAGGAAGUAUCAUUUUUGGUGCUAAACGGGCCUAAAGAAAAGAUGAAAUAUUAAAUGCAAGAAAAAGUUUAGCAACUAAACUCCUCGAUGCAUAAGUAUUUUUUCCGCUAAAUUCAACAAGGACGGAGUGCUUCACCAGCCAAUUAUGAACCAAAUCACUCUACUUAACUUAAAGUGAACACUUAUCUCCCAGCCCUAGUAAUUUACAUAUAAAGAGGAGAGAUUUCAUUGUACGUACAAUUGAAAGUGAUCAAUUUGUGAUGCUGAUAAUGACUCGUGGCAACAUUCUCUCCUGGAGUGCAAUAUGGCAGGAAGUGUGUGGGCUCUAUCCAAUUUGGAGCUAUUUCGAUCUGUUUUGCUGGAUGAGACUCAAAUAGCUAGGCUAUGGUUGUUUGAAUUGAGCAAGAAUCUCUCUCACGAUGAAUUUGCAAAGGCGAUUGUCAUUUUAUGGGCAAUAUGGUGGGCUAGAGGGCGGCUAUUCAUGACAAUGAAUUCUAGUUGCCUUUGUCGACUCAGGGCUUUCAUCACAGAGUACCUACUCGAGUUGGACAUUUGUGCAACAAAGAAAAAAAAAAC
rnacentral:lncRNA from 1 species